UGCUAGUGGGUGUGUGAGUGUCCAAUGCCGGUACGAGAGCCCUGAGUGCGGGCGGGGCGCCCACGUGCGCCACGCACCCGUACCCCUCCGUAACCGGACGCAUCGACACACUUGUCGCGCCCCGGCUAGCUUUCCCUUUGCAGUACACACCUCUUUGCCCUCCUGGCGAAUCGCCAAUAAGGCGUCCUUUCCAAGCCCAUUAUGCGUGGACAUCCAGGUCGAAAGGCUGGAAAUGCGACCGCCCUCAGAAGAAAGCUGCAUCGGCAGCUCCCCGCAGCGCGAACAGCCGCACGCGACCAUGAUGCCGGCAGUUGAUGCGACAGCUCCACCUAGUAGGCGACAUCGGUGCUCGCCUGAAGGCGAAUUAAGGGUCGAAAGGGCGGUUGCGAUGGUCAGAAAUGUGACCGUGACUUGCCUGCACGUGCGCUGUGCCGGCAGGUCCGCAGGCUCUCAGGCCGACGGUUCUCCCACCUAAUACGAGUUCAACAUCAGCUGCCGGCAAGUGCGAGGCGCCCCUGAGCAAAGAGUCGACCGCAGCUUCGCUGCUGUUUGCCCCCAUUGUGCGCGCCCAGCCGGAAGAUAGAGCGGGCAAGUUGCCCGUCCAGAACUCGUGCAUAACACUAGAUCGAUAGAUUCUGUCAAUGCGUUGCUCGGACGAAGUGACUUAUGACACUACUGAAGCGACCAUUUACUCUCUAGACAAAACCACGCUUCUGUACUUAGUCAUUUGUUAGCGCCGAGUAAUGCGCGAGCUUUGUGGUGGGCAACGAGAGCAACUGCAUUCCCGGGGUUUCGUCCACUGGUCCCAUGCGCAUCCACCAAUUUGCAAAUGGUUGCAUUGGUGCGCUUGCAUUAAACUUGUGACGUCUGUAAUGUGGCUAGGCGUGACAGUCGGCCGGGCGCUUGCGUCUGUCCUAGAUGUAUCUGCGCCGAAAGCGGCGAUUGAAGCCGUAACAUGAUACAUCCACAAGGAACAAUCAAGUGGCUCAGCAGUUCAAGCCAGUGAGUAAUGUUUAUGUUUAUGAAACCCUGCUGCCGCACACCAGGGUUUUCCUUCGUGAGCACGUGCGUCUUCGUCCGCCGGGCGCUUUUCGCCUGGCCUGCCCGCGCUGCCGCACGGCCCGCGCUCUGCGCCACGGGAGCGCCUCCCUUGGCGCCGUCCCUCCUCUGCGCCUCGCGGAGUGCCUCAUCGCAAAGUCUAUGCGCCCAAAUAAAAGUGACUGGCUCAGCACUAGGCAUUAGAUACGACCGCUGCAAUUGACGAUCGGCCGCGUCAGGAAAAUUGGUAGUAUAUUAUGUGAUGGACCAUGUGAAGUGGACAGGAAAUGAAGAUUCCGAACCUUUCCGAAGCUGCACGCCCCGCCCGCCCGCUCUGCCGCCGGCACGCCCGCGCACCCUUGCGCGCACCCGGAGGGCAGCCCGCCGUUCGCUGCCAGACACUUCCCCUUCAUCAUAAGUCCGUGCCCCAGAAAAGAACGACUUGGCUGACGCGAUAGCUUGGGCUCUUUAUAUCGGGACCUCCCCCGUGUGGCUGUGUCAGACCGUCCCCGCCGCAAUCCUAGGCCCAGGUGUGUGUCGCAUCGCAAUCAUCUGCGAGGGGUACAGUCAACCUCCGUGUUGCCAGGCAAAGCGUUGCCGCGUAUAGGCGUAGCUUUUGCAUAUGAAGAAGCGUGAUGUAGACGUUUGCACUGCGCGUGGAAGCCUGGACAAAAGGGAGGGGGGUCGCCGCGAGUGAUCCGGCAUGCACAUGUGCGAAACCCCGCACAAUGUAGUUCGGGCGCCGGUGAUAGCAUUGUUACUGCUAUGCGCUCAUAUAGCUCUGAACGUUGAUAGCCGAAGCGUAUGCAAGAAACUAGCGCGCUCACUCAUUCCCAGUUUGCGUUUCUUGUGUUAGCCGCUGGGUGGCAAGCUCAGAAACAUGUUUAUACAUAAGCCAUAGCACGUGGCGAUGCCACUGAGCGCUACUCUCGCUUGGGCCGUCUUGCACUCAGAAAUGCGCCGAGCAGGAACCGUUCUGCUUCUAGUUAUGGUGGCCCAUAGUGCAUCAUUAUGGAUACAAGCAAGCGCGCAGACAAUCAGCAGCCUCAACGCGACACAGCAGGCGUGCAUAAAUGUUGCUGCCGAGGACGUGCUGGCCAGGUGCCUAAAUGACGCGAUAGUGGACAUUCCAUGGAACUGCUCUUGCUCGCCACGCUGGACUCCGGUCUCACAGCGCAUUCGUUUUUGCAUGUCUUUGCCUGCAGCUGCGCCUACAACACGUCUGGCAGCAGAGAGCAGGCAUUCGCCAAGGUUGUGUCACGCUCAUACGCGUUGUGCGUGGAGGGGAACGGGACCUCUGGUGCUAGCGGCACGGACCAGGUGAGGGGCGACAGAGGUUUGCGAGGUGCGCAUGUGCGGGUGUACACAGCUUGCAGGCUUGCAGGUGACAGCAGGCUGGGGAGUAGUGCUUGCGUCGUGCCGGUACUGUGCGUUCAGGAACAACGUGGAGCUUUAUCUGCCAGGGUCUGAGAGGGUCUGAGGGCACGGUCCGAGGGGGAGCGGGAUGAAGAGCAGCCGGGCGCGAGGCCGCCCGCUGCUCUCCCACACCUCAUCUUUCACUUGCGCCUUUCCAGGCUCAGCCUUCCUUUCCCCUCCCUCCCCCCCUCCCUCCCUCCCUGGCUGCUCCCUUUCUCGCCUUCCCCUGCCGCACCCCCGCAGCAGCUGCAGGUGAUGGUGCCUACGCGCCUCUUCCCAGCCUACAGCCGCCUGGCGAGGAGCUACUCGCUGGUGAGGGCGGGGGCGGGAUGGGGGGGGGGGGCUGUAAAUACCAGCCCAAACUAAACCAAACCAACUGAAACAAGCGGAACACAGGCAGAGGCGUAGGUUGCAAGUAAUAAUACUUAUGGGAUGCGGGCCGAGGCGUCGAGGAGCAGCAGGGCAAGCGGCGCCGGCGAUAAAGGGGGGGGGGGGUAAGUCUGCCCGAGCCCAACAGCGUGUGUACAUGUUGCGUGUGCGUGUGUUAACGGGAAACGGGACAAGUGCGCGGCCGCCCAUGCGUCGGGUUUGUGUGUGCUGGAAGAGCACAAGAGGAGAGGGGUGUACGUGGGUACAGGCGCGCGUGCUUGCAUGUGCGUGGGUGGAUGCGGAUGCGUGCAUGUGCACGUGCACGUGCAAGAGUUUGAUGCAAGAGUCUGCGAUGGUCAGGCGGGCGGUGGCAGGGAGGCGCUCAAAGGCACCGGUAACCGGUGGGCGCACCACGGCACCGGUACUACUGGGUACUGGGAGCGGCGUGGGAUGGGGCUGCAUGCAUGCAGUGAGAGGGGCUGCACAGUACCGCGGUUGCGCAGGAGCGUGACCACUGCAGUCGCAUGACAAGGGCCUGCGAGAGCUGUGCGGUGGGCGGGCGGACGGGCGGGCCGGGGGAGGUAUAGCCUGGCGAACCAAGCCCUGCACACGCAUGUACGAUACGGACUCACAGCCUCCUGUGUUUGGCAAUGCCGUCCGCCCGCCGCGCCCCGCCUGUGCUGACCCCCUGUGCGCCGACACGUUUAGCAUGUACUGUACUGAGUAUUAAGCCCCCGUAUUCAUGGACGGCGACCUCGACACACACAUGCACACACCGUUUGUGCUUAUCUUUCCUUGUUCGCUCUAACAAACAAAUACUCACACAUACGCAUACACAUACACACACCGCCCCGCCAGGCCUCCUCCCGCUCCGUGGCGGUGAUCCCGGUGGAUGAGGACCAGCUGUUGCAGGAGGCGCUUUUUGAGUUUUCAAACAAACUCAACACCAUGCACGACGCCUGGAUCCUGCAGGUGAGCGCGUGUGAGAUGUACUGGGGUGGGGUUGUAGAUUCCAGCCCAAACUAAACCGAACCCAAUGCAGUUGAGAGGGGGCUGGGGACGUUGGGUGUUGUGCUCUGUGAGUCUGUUGGGAUCGAGUGCUGCGGAGCUCGCUGAAGGUGUAGGUGGAGGGGGGACCGGCAGCGAGUCAUGUGGUGUGUAUGCACACACACGCGUGUGCGCCCCGGAGCCCCCUCACAUGUGUGAGGCGGCUACACAGCUCUCACCAUCCACCCCCUGUUCGGCCCCCCGCCGCCAUCCCCCUGCACCGUCCUCACAGCUGGACAGCUACUGGCAGCUCGAGGCCCUGGGCGGGGUCCUGGACCUCACCAACUUCACUGCCACCAUCACCACCACCGCCGCCGCCGUCGCAGCCUCCUCCGGAGCAUCCGGCAGCACCCAUAACAGCGCCGGCGGCAGUGCCGGCGCCGCCACGGUGUGGGGCGACUGGUCGGAGGUGCCUCCGGCCUUUCGGCGCCUGUCGUACUCGUACGACACAGCCAACAGCGCGCCCGGGGCGCCGGCGACACCUACACAGGUGCGUGGCCGGGCCCCAGGGAUCCAAAACGCGCUGCCGGCAUGUGCUGCUCCUCAUAGCCCUGUCUUGCGCCUGCGGCAUGCAACUUGCUCGCGCACGCUUCUUGCGCACGUGCCGAGUGUGUUGGUGUUGGCCCUCGUUCCUUGUGCUGUUUAACACACGCGCGCGCGCGCGCACGCACGCACACACACACACACACACACACACACACACACACACACACACACGGCACACACGCCCCGCACGUGUUCCCCCGCAGAUGUCGGUGCCGCUGGACGGCUCCGCGCCGAUGAUGCUGUACCGCACCGACCUCUUCGCGGCGGCGGGUCUGAGCCGCCCGCCCGCCACCUGGGCCGAGGUGCUCACGGCGGCGGCGGCACUCAACGGCACAGACAUGGACGGAGACGGCGAGGAGGACUUUGCGCUGUGCUUCCGACCCGACCCGGGUGAGGCGAGGGAUCGGAAGGGGCCCAUUCCCCCGCUUGCGCUGCGCCGUUUCAUUGCAGUGCUCAUCCUGCCAGAACCCCCAACGGCCAACCCAACGCAGUUAUCCAUUCCGUGCCCCCAGCCCAAACCUGCUGUGUUUCUCGCUGCCCCUUGAUCCCACUGCUCUUGAUUACGCAACCCAUCCCAAGCCAACCUCCCUCUCCCCCCUCUCCACACUUCGUCUGAAGUCUUCAGUGCAUCUUGUAUCGCUUUCCCAACCCCCUUCACUUCAUAUUUGAUACACACCAUCCCAUGGAUGGCUACCCCCCUCUUACCCCCUUUAGUUUGGGCUGGUACUUACACCCCCCCCAUCUCCCCUCUUCCCCCCUCAGACUGCUCGUACACCAGCGCCCUGGGCAUGGUACUGCUGCCGUACCUGCAGUACAACGGCACCGCCACCGGCGGCCUGCUGGCGCCCGAGGACCUGCAGCCGCUGCUGGACACGCCGGGGGCGGCGGCGGCACUGGCCGUGUUCAAGUCCCUGCUGGCCUUCCACAUCCCGCUGGAUCUUCAGGUGGGCGGUCGCGUGCGCCAGCCUGUUUCUGCCUGCCUGGUCAUAGGGCACACCCCUCGCACACCCCUCGCACACCCCUAGCACACCCCUGGGCACACCCCUAGCACACCCCGGGUACACCCCUAGCACACCCCUAGCACACCCCUGGCACACCCCUAGCAACCCCCUAGCACACCCCUAGCACACCCCUAGCAACCCCCUGGGCACACUUCCUGAACUAGUCAUGAUUGUAACCCUAACACGCCCCCCUCACGCGUGCAGGGCAUCGAGUGCGCUGCCGGUGACGUGGCGCUGGCCUUCGCGGAGGGCGAGUGUGCCAUGGCGUUUGGGUGGGGGGAGCUGUUCAAGGUGCGUAGGGGCGGGGGACAAGGGGUGUGUGUCAUGUGUGUGUCUGUGUGUGUGCGUAUGCGGGCCCGGGACUGGCGAUUGGCUCACACCUUACCUGUGUCACCUCACAGCACCGGUCCCGCAUAAUGACUUGUGCCUCUGGACAUCGCCAGUUCCAUGUUUUAAUACAAACCGUUCGCAUCAAUGGCGACCCCUGUGAUAAACGACGUCACGAACGGCACGUGUACCUCCCUGUGCUACCCUGCCUCCCAUCCGUGUACAAAACAGCUGAGUGAGAUCAGCAGCUCGGCCCCGGCCUUCGGCGGUCCGGCUGACAACAGCUCCGCCGCCUCCGCCCUAGGGCAGCGCACCGCCAAGGGCCGCUACGCCAUGACGCCGCUGCCCGGCUCCACACAGGUCCGCCGGCGGGCGGCUUUAGCCGCUUGGACUUGUUUCGCUGCCAUGCCGUCACAGUCAAGUUUAGCUUGUUGAAUGUAUGUAGUUACAUGAUAUUUACAUGAUAUUUACUUGACUGUGACGGAAUACGCUGGUCAGAUCUGUCGUCUGUGCGCGGUUCCCGCUUGCCCGCUGAUCCUUGGGUUUGGCUGUGCGGUGUGCGGCGUGCGGUGUGCGGCGCGGGGGUUUGCAGGUGUACGACAGGCAGCGGCGGGAGCUGGUGGAGUGUGGCAGUGCGGCGCAGUGCCCCUACGGAGCGGGCGGACUGCCGGAGACCGUCACGACUGCGGUGAGCGGUGUGUGUGUGUGUGUGUGUGUGUGUGUGUGUGUGUGUGUGUGUGUGUGUGUGUGUGUGUGUGUGUGUGUGUGUGUGUAGGGGGGGGUUUAAGCCGUUCGUGGAGAUUGGGGCGCUGAGUCUGGGCCUGGGGCCGAAGCCGGUGCGGCCUCUGGCUACGCGGGAGGAGAAGGUUUUGGAGGCGCGAACAGAGCAACAGCAGCAUGCCAGAAACAUAAACAGUCCCAAACACAACGGGGCAGCCGCGCGCAGCGGGAUGGGUUCAUCGGCGGUUCAAACCCACCUGCCCCUGGAAUCAUAAACCAUGGAAAUGUCGCAGCCGCUCGCACCAUCCGCGUCGCACCAACAACAAGCCCCAUAACCCAUCCCCCCGUCUACCACUUCCUUAACUUGUUAUGAAUGUACCCCCCCCCCAUGACCCGCCCCCACCCCCGACAGGACGGCCGCACGCUGUACGUCAACCGCGCGCCCUACCUGCCGUACACCGGGGUGGUUGGGCUGGUGGCGGCGGCUGUGGAUCCGGAGCGGCAGCGCCGGGCGUUUGACUUCCUCACCUACCUGUCGGCGGCCAACCUGAACCUGUCCCUGGCCAGCGACAGUGAGUGUGACCGCGUGCUGUAGCAAUGGGGGAUUGCAAGGUUUAAGCGCUGGGAACAGGAUACAAGGGGAUGGGGGCUUGUGAUUACCAGUGCACAUUAAACCGAACCCAAUGCGAAGGAGCGAGGAGGAGGCGGGCGCGGGGCAGGUGUCCCCGCAAGACUGAGUGGUUGGGAGGGGGACUAGCAAGGGGAGGGGACGAGCAGUGGAGUGGUGUUGGGGUUGGUGCGGUGGGCUGGCGGAAUGGGUGCCAGGUGGCAGCGCGGCAGCCAAUGGUGCGAGAGCCCCCCCCAUCAACGCGGUCUGCAGGCGCUGGCUACUGGUGUGCAGCGGCGUUUCCCUUUGCGGCAGGCGGGCGGACGCAGCGCGCAAUGUCCCGUUCCCCACACCUCCUUCCCGCCCAAUGUGCUCCUCCUCACCUCCCCACUCCUGUCCUGCCCCCUUCCUUAACUAAUCAUGAAUGUAAUCCCCCUUGCCCCCCCUCCUCCCUUGCCGGCCCAGAUCCCAUCGUGCCCUUCCGCACCAACGCCCUCACAACCGCCCGCAUCCCCGACUUUGUCGCCGCCGGCUUUGACGAGGCCGCCGUCCGCUCCUACAUGUCGGUCGUGAACGCCACCGUGAACCAUCCCAACCUGGCCCCCGGCCCCAUCAUCCCGCGCGGCGACAUGCUGAGGGCCCUGAUGGGCGUGGCGGCCGCGAACCUGUCGGCGGGCAUGGAGGCGGCGGAGGUGGCGGCGGGGCUGCAGGCGCAGGUGCGGGGGGUGCGGGGGGCGCGGGGUCGGCUGGGAGGCGGUUGGGAGGCGGCUGGGAGGCGGGGGGAGGGCAAGGGGCAACACGCACGGGCAGCCGUGUGAGCCGUAGAUCAAGAUGUGUGCAUUCACAGAGACACACAAGUACACACGCGCGUGUGGACACUAAUCCCCCCUCGAGGUUAGAGUAGCGGGGGUUGCGCGAUUUCCGGUUGGUAAGACCGGCGGCUCACCGCAGCAGGUAUACGAGGUAACUUCAGGUAACAUCCGUAAACCGUCGCUUUGCUGCAUCGCAUACACUGUCUUUGCGCAACGUUUUCCUUGUGCUCUUUAACACAAGUACACACGCGCGUACGUACACACACGCGUACACACCCACGCACACAACCACACACACACACACACGUACAACCACGUGCACAGGUGGUGGACCAGGUGUUGGACUACCAGCCCGCCUGGACCUGGCGCCUGGGGCUCAAGACCGCCUACUGGGCGUUCACCGGGUACACCCCCCCGCCGGCGGUGAGGGCGUGGGGGAUUGCGUCGAUAGUGGCUGAGGGACAGGCUGGCUGGCUGCCUGGCAGGCUGGCAGAGCGCCUGCGUGCCCAGGGGAGGACCCUCCCCUGUGCGUGCCUGUCAGGGUUUUGUUGCGGGCUAAGGGUUUACCCAUGCAACGCUGUCAGGAAUGGUGGUAGCCUGCCCUCCCGAACCGACCGUUCGCGAUGGGUUCUGUGACUCACGCCAAACACACACACACACACACACACACACACACACACACACGCACACACGCACACACGCACACACACACACACGCACACACACACACACACACACACACGCACACACACACGCGCGCCGCUGCAGCUCUGACGCCCCCCCCCGCCUUCGUUCCUUCCUUCCUUCCUCCCCUCGCAGAACGGCACCGCCGACGGCGCCGCCGACAGCACCCAGAUGCCGGCCGUGUCGCUGGCGGUGCCGGUGGCCUCGGCGGUGGUGGUGCUGCUGCUGUCCACCCUGUACGAGUUCAAGAAGCACCGGCAGCACCGCAGCCUGUUCGGCAAGGUGGUGGCGCCGGGGCCGUUCGAGGACACCACACUGCUGGUCACGGACAUACAGGUGGGGGCGCGCGUGUGUGUAUGGGGGGGGGGCGUGUGUGGGGGGAGGGGGGCGCGUGUCAGCGCGUUGGAGGUAGGGGUGUGUGUGUGUGUUCAGCUAGCAGAAAGGAGGAAAGACGCAGGAUCGUGUAUGCAAUACGGUACGAUGCUCGCGGUAUUGCGGUAGGUAGGUAGGUGUGUGUGGGGGGGGCGUGUGUGAGUGUAUGUGUGUGUGUGUGUGUGUGUGUGUGUGACUGGGUGCGCUAAGGGCGACGUAUCGCAAGCGCGCCGGCCGACACGUGUGUCCGGCACGCGUUCAUGGGGGAGGGCUGGGCGUCCACCCACGACUGCACCCUUCCGAGUGUGCUCCAGUGCUCCUCCGCCUCGCACUCUCUCCCUCCCCCGGUAUUAAUUGCUGUUCCCCCAAGAUUGCCUACCAUCUACCAUUUUCCUUGUCUAAUCUGAACGGCUAUCCCCCACCCCAUCAUGAAGUAACCCCGCUGCUCCGCCCGCCCGCAGGAUUCCACUGCCUUGUGGGAGAUGCUCCCCUCCACAGUCAUGGACCGAGCCAUAAAGGAACACCACGCGGUGGGGAGAGGGGAGGGGCGGGGGCAGGGGGAGGAAAGAAAGGGGGGAGGAAAGGGGCAGGGGGUUAAUGUGCCCGAGCCCGUUAGGUCCCAAGAGUCGCGGGAGGAGGAAGGAGGAGCAGGGAGUGGAAGAGCGGCUCCAAAUGUGGUGUGGGCUGCUGGUGGUGUUUGGGCAAGCGGGUCGGGCCGGCCAUGCUUGCGGUGCUUGAGGGCGCUCGGGACACAAGUUGCUGCCAACUAAGCCAGCGCCUCCCUCGCCUGCUGCUGCUGCUGUUGCUGCUGCUGUUGUGCAUGCACCUCGCCUGCUGCAGUGCCUGCGCAAGCUGCUGCUCAAACACAGCGGCUAUGAGAGCGCCACCGAGGUGCGUGCGCGCCCCCACGGGUCUGGCCAGGCGCACUGUGUGCGCGCGACCCCACGGGUCUGGCGCCUCAGGCCAGCUGCCAGGCGCACUGUGUGCGCGCGCAGGACGGGUCUGGGGAGUGGGGAGCUGUGGGGGGGGACCCAUGUACGGGCACGCACACGAUGCGCACCAGCUGAAUGACACACGCGCACACACACACACACACACACACACACACACACACACACACACACACACACACACACACACUCCUACAACCGCCGCCACCCCGCUCCCGCUCCACCCCCACCUCACCCCCCACCCCCCAGGGCGACUCGUUCCUGCUGGCCUUCCACAGCCCCGAGGACGCAUUGCUGUUCGCCAUGGAGGCGCAGGUGGCGCUGCUGGAGUGCGGCUGGCCCAUGGAGCUGCUGGACUGCGACGUGUGCAGGCCAGCCUACGUGGCGCACAAGUGAGUGCGGGGGAGCGGUGGCGGGUUGGUGGGGUGGUGGUGGGCUGGGUGGUGGGCUGGGUGGUGGGGCGGGGGAUGGAUGGUGUGGUGGGGAUGGAUGGGGGAAUGGGGGGAUGGGGCGGGGGCGAGGGAACGGCGGCGGGGGCGCGUUUGGGGCAGCAUCUGGCGGCGCGUAUGGUGCAGUUGUCGUGGGGUACAGUGGAGGGUGGAAAGGCGGGCUGGUGCAGACAGUGCUGUGCUGCGCCUUGUGCUGCACCGCCACCGCGGCGCAUGCGGCAGCCCCGCAUCCGCCAGCCGCUGCACGUGCCUGUCUUCCCCGUUCGCUCUCUCGCGUUCCCCUCCCACCCUCCCGCGCACGCACCCCCAGCGCGCCCCUACACGCCCCCACGCACCUCCACGCACUCACACACCCACACUCACACGCGCUUCCCCGUUCUCUACAUGAGCGACUACCCUCUACAACACACAUACACACGCACCCUCCCCUCUGUGCUGUGUUUUCCUUGCACUAUUUAACACACAUCCUCUCACACACGCGCUCACCCCCACAGCGACAGCGACAAACGGGCCAACCUGCUGGCCGACGCCGGCGACCCGGGUGGCGGCGGCGGCGGUCUGAUGGCCCUGCCGCGCGCCAGCAGCGGCCUCAGCAACAAGAGCACCUCGGAGGAGGCCAGCAGCCCGCAGGUGGGGGGUUUGGGGGGGUUGGGGGGGAGGCUGGGCGCGCGUUUGUGUGUGUGUGGGGGGGUUGCAUUCAUGAUUAUUUAAGAAGUGAAGGGGGGUUGUAGAUACCAGCCCAUACUAAACCAAACCCAAUGCAAUAGAGCGAGGAGGAGAGCGUGGUCGAUGCUUGACAACGGAGUGGCACGCGACAAUGGUCCCCAUUCCCGAAAUGCACCGAGUUCCCAGGUUCCCAGCAAUACAUCCGGGGGGGGGGUUCCAUGCAUGAUGAAGCAAAAAGCAGCGGAGUUGCAGCCAGGCAUGUUGAGGGGGAUUGUUGCAAGUGGGUGGGGAGGGUUGUGGUCUAGGGAACGGCUACCGCCCACCUGGAAUUGCAACACACACACACGCACCGCUGCCGCCUGCCACAGGCCUCCCACGGUCUGAGUAGCGGCGCGGUGGUGGCUCCCGGCGAGUCCAACACCUUCCUCACCGCCUGCCAGGCCAGCUGGAAGGAGGCCACAGCCGCCACACCCAACAACGUACUCAUAUUCCGGUGAGCCACGCCCCCCGCCCCCCCCCCAUCGGUAACAACGCGUCUGCUAUACUACUGUACCUGGCUACGCCUUCACUUCUUAGAUAAUCAUGAAUGUAACCAACCCCCCCCCCCAAACACACACACACACACAUUUACACUCACACUUACACUCUUCCCUUACACGCCACCGCCCCCCUCUCACAGCGGCCUGCGGGUGCGCAUGGGCAUGCACACCGGCAUCAGCAAUGAGGCCGACGUGGCCUACAACAAGGCGGCGGCGCGCAUGCAGUACAGCGGCGAGAUCCUCAACUACGGCAAGAGCGUCAGUGACGCGGCGGCGGGCGGCAUGAUCCUGUUGAGCGAGGCCACGUACAGGUGAGGGGGCGUGUGUAUGGGGGGGGGAGGGGUGGGGGGGGUGGGUUGGGGGUUUGGGGGGUGGGGGUUGGGGGGGUGGGUUGGGGGUUGGGGGGGUGGGGGGAAGGGGGUUGGGGGGAAGCGUGUGCGUAUGUGUGGAGGAGAGGGGUUUGGGAGUGUUCGUGGGAGGGGGUUGCAAGGAUUGGUACAGAGAAGUGUAGCGAAGUAGACAGCAGGUGUGCUGUUGCGCGUACCGAUGACCGACGGCGUCCACAGGGGGGUGAGUGGGGUUAGGAAAGGCACCUACAAUGUAUACACACACAAUGCACGUCUCCAUGCCUUGUGCUCUCUAUCACGUGAUCUUUGUCCGCACGUCCCCCCCUCCCACCCCACCCGCUCCCCCUCAGGCGCCUGCCUAUGGAGCGGCUGUGGGACAAGGCGCUGGUGAUGCACGUGGGCGAGUACCGCCUCAAGGACGACCUGCUCGUGCUGCCGCUCUACCAGGUGGGUGGGUGGGUGGGGGGGGGGGGCAGAGGCGUUGCUUUCAUGUUCAUGUUCAUUCAAGUCGUAGACCGUAGGCAAUCUUGUGUGUGGGUGGGUGGGGGGUUCGGUGGGUGGGUGGGUGGAUGGGUGGGGUGGGUGGGGUGGGUGGGUGGGGGGUUGCCACUCAUGCGGUUGCAGUAAACAUGGAAGUGCCCCACGUGCAGAGGCACCGCGGGAACACGCGCCAUACCCGGGCGGGGGGGGGGGUAAGGAGGAUUGAGGGGAGGGGGUGAGGGGGCGACGCAGCUGCUAGCAUCUGAGGCCCCGUGUCGAACCAAGCGCCAACCGGCCCUUCCUUGCUACCUGUCCACUUCCACCUCCACCUCCCCUCACACGCACCCCCCCCCUGCAUCCUGCACCGCUUGAUUAAACAUCCUUGCAACCCCCAUACACACACACGCCCCGCACGCCCCCCACGCCCCCACGCCGUGCCCGCUCCCCCCCCUCGCAGGUCACGGGUCGUCGGCUGAUGGGGCGCCUGGGCCACCUGUCCGGCAUGCGCUUCAAGGAGCAGCUCAGCCGCGGCGUGUUCACGGCGCCGCUGGGGGCGGUGAGAGCUCGCUCCGAGGAAUAGGGGGUCACCGGUGCAUUCAUGUUUAGCUAAGAAGUGAAGAAGGCGUCGCCAGGAACAGCGGGGUGGGGUGGGGCGAGGAGGGACCGCUUCGUUUCGUGACCCCUGCAAACCCCCGUUCCCCGCUGCUCACUCACCUCCUCCCUCGUCCCCGGGACGUCGGCACUUCAUAUGUGUGAUUCAAUCACUGCGUUAUCCACAUGAACGGCUACUAUUCCCCUCAGAAACACCUUUGCACCCCCCCCCACCCCUCUGCAGUCUUCAGUGCAUCCUGUACCGCUUUUCCAAACAUCCUUGCAACCCCCCCCCCCCAAAACAGGUGGCCAUGGUGUAUGUGGGCGUGGCGGGUGUGCCGGCGCUGCUGGCCUGGGACGAGCCGAUCACACGUGAGGCGCUGGCGCUGCUGCACGCCUGCCUGGCGGAGCACGUGCGCACAUGGGGCGGAUACCUGGUGGAGGCGGCGGACGAGCAGGUGGGGGCGGGCGUGUGUGGGCGGGGGGGGGGGCGUGGGGGGGGGAGAGUGUGGGGUGGGGAUGGGGAGCGUUUGUGGGCUGUGGGCGUGUGUGUGAGCCGUGUAUGGGGGCGUGGAGAAGGUGCGGGCGGGUUUGUUUCUACCAUUCCCAGUAAAAAACCAUAGCAACGAAGACGCAUGACUGGACACGUUUGUUCAAAGCUGUGGGGGGGGCGGCGAUUCAUCCAAGGCAUGUGGUCCUGUUGUGCGCGUGUUGUCCGUGUUGCCUGGGCGGGCAGGUCGGGCUGCGCUACAGGUGCAAGCAGUCCCCAGCAGUCGCAGUACACAGGCCACCCAAAGGACUCGCCACCACUCCUGCAAACCCCCAACCCUCCACCCCCACCCCCGUCCAUCCCUCCCGGGACCUCAUACGCUUUUGGGCCAAUCAUUCCGUUCGCCAUGGACGACUAACCCCCCUAACGGCUAGCUUAGCUUGGUUCGCUUCAGUUUGGGCUGGUAUUUUCAAUCCCCCCCCCUCCUCCUCCCCCUCCCCCCUCUGUACCAUUGCUCCUGGCUACGCCCUCUCGUCUUAUUUAACAUGCAUGGAAUCCCCCUCCCCCUCCUCCUCCUUGCAGGUGCACGUGGUGUUCCCGGCCGCCAGCGAUGCGGUGAUGUUCUGUCUGGCGGCGCACCAGGCCGCCAUGGAGCUGCCCUGGCCGGAGCCGCUGCUGGACCACGAGCUGGCGGAGGAGCUCAUCGUGGGAGAUGCCGUGGUGUUCAGGUGUGUGCAUGUGUGGGUGGGUGGGGGGUAAGCUGUACGGAGUGAUUACAUCACGAAACCCAAGGAGCCGGACACGAGAACGCGAGACAGACAAGUUUUGUGUGGUGGUGGGGGGGCAGCCGGUGGAGCGGGAAUGAAUGUGCGAGGGGCGGGAUGGUGGCAGUCAGCGGCAGGUCCGGACGGCACCCGGGGUCUGUAGCUGGUGGGUGGGGUUGGGUGGUAGCUGCCCUCCCCCCCAUUGUUGCCUCCCCCCCCCCGCGCCUGAAACCCCAACCACACCCCAAGAUUGCCUACCAUCUACCACUUUCUGAACUGGUCAUGAAUGCAACCCCACCCCUGCCCCCCACCCUGCAACGCCGCCGCCGCCACCCCCCAGGGGCCUGCGGCUCAAGAGCGGUGUGGACACGGGACACGCGGUGGGCGAGGUGAACGCGCUCACGGGCCGCAUCUGCUACCGCGGCAAGGUGGUGGCGCGGGCGGCGCGCGUCAUGCAGAACGCCAGCAGCAACCAGGUGGGGUCGGGGUGGUGGCGGGCGGGGAGGGGGUUACAUUCAUGACUUAGGUAAGGACGUGGGGGCGGCGGUGGUGCUGCUGCUGCUGCUGCUGCUGCUGCGGCUGCUGUCGGUCGGAGGGUUUGGAGCAGUGCUCUGCCCUGCCGCUGCCCUAGGAGUAGCAGUUUAGUCCCGAUGCGGACGUAGGGCUCCCGCAUCCCCCGUUGGGCUUGGGCGUCUUACAACCCAACUCCCUCCUAUGACUUAGUGGGACCUAGGCUCUAGGCUUGGGCAUUUAACUUCUCCCCCUCCUCCUGAUCCUUCUCCUCCUCCUCCUGGUGCUGCCCCCACGCCGCAGGUGCUGACCAGCGGUGAGGCCUGGGCGGCGGCGCUGGCGGGCAAUGCCGCGGUGCUUCAGCUGCGGGGCGUGGUGGGCGACCGCCUGGGGCCCUUCAAGCUGAGGGGCGUGGCGGAGCGCGUGGAGGUGGUGCAGGUGGGCGGGGAGGGAUUGGGUGGGAUUGGGAUGGGAGCAACAUGGGGCGGGACUGGGAAGGGGAAGUAAGGGGGAAUGUGCCCCGAAGGAGAGAGGGAGGGACUAAGCUCCAUAGCAAUGUGUGGCUACGUGAGGCGGGGCCGUGUGUGCCUCCAGCUGUCACCAUUCGGACCCUCUCCACCAACAUCGCCGCCUUCUACAUACCGGUAGCCAUGCCUGGAACCCCCCGCCAAACAACAACUGCAAGCUUUCGAACACCUCUGACCUUCUCCCCCGCCGCUCAUAACAUUAUCAAAUUCUUGAGACGCCUUGGCCCUUGACACGCCUCUCCACACAUAUGCAACCCGGCGCGCGCAGGUUCGGCUGCGGCGACUGGAUCUGCCGGGGGCAGAGGGCUGGGCGCAGGACCUUCAACAGGCGGGGGACGGCGGCGCCGGCGCAGAAGGCGGCGCCGGCGACACCGCCAGUGGCGACGGCCCGCAGAGCACACGCCCCGGCAGCCUGGCGGCGGUGGACCUGGCGGCGGCUGCUGGCGGCGGCUCCGAACGGCCGAUGUCGGGCAGCAGGUUUGGGUUCUUGGGCCGUCGGUCCAGCCAUGCAGCCAUGAUGCCCCCCGUGAACGGCACGGACCACAGCGGACGCGGCGGCGCCGCGAUGGCGCCGCCGCUGUUGCCGGCGUCGCGGCUCGGCGCCGACGGCCCGGGCAGCCCUCGCCUGUUUGGCGGGCUGCUGCGCUCAGCACGCGCGCAGAGCUUCAGCGCGGCGACGUCGGGGCUCAUAGCGCGCAUGACGGGCCGCGGCCGCGCCGGCAACGGCAACGGCAGCGGCAACGGCAGCGGCGCCCCCUCGCGCAUGCACACCUCGAACCAGGGCGCAGAGGGCAGCGGCGACAGCGGCUCCGCCGCCGCCAGCGGCGGCGGCGUCACCAUUGCGAGUGGCAGCGUGGCGGCGCUGCAAGGCGCGCCCGACGGCGGCGCCGUGCCUGCCGCCGCGAAUGCGCACGGCGGCGGCGCCAGCGGCGGCGUUCCUUCUGGAGGCGUGCUGCGCAGCCUGAGACUCGUCAGCGGUGGCAUGGGGACCGGCGCAGCCGGCGCAGGCGCGGGCGUGAUGGGCGGCACGCCUCGUGGCACGUCGGCGGGCGUGGCGUUCCCGUUCACCUCCGCGCGGCGGCUGCUGCCGUCAUGGGGCAGCACCGGCCAGGGCCAUAGCAGUCAAGACGUGGCGGCGGUGGUGGCGACCUCCAUUCCCGCCAACCGCGGCGGCGCCAGCAACUCCUCCAACAGCCAUCCCUACAUUACCGAUGCUGAUGUUGGCGCCGCCGCCGCCGCCACUGCUGAUGCCGCUGCGGCGGUGCCAUUGCCACCCCCAGUGUCAAUGCCAGCGGCGGCGCUGGCCCUGCCGUCGCAGGCGGCUGAUACUCUGCCUGGCGGCGGCGCCGCCACCGCCGGCUCUGCCGCCGCCGCGGCGGCGGCGACAGCAUCCUUGGUUGCUGGCGGUGCCAACCCCAUAUCUCCCAAGGCCGUCGACGCGGCGGCCCUUACGACGGCGGUGCCGGUGAGCGGGCCCGGUGCCGUCAGCGGUGGCGCGCCGUCAAGCGACGGGCCGGGCUGGUUCCCAGGGGAGAUGCUGGCAGACGUGUUGCAUGGGGUGCAGGAGGAGGACGAGGCGGCGGCGGCGGUGGCGGUCGCAAGAGCGGUGUCGGGUGUGGGCAUGGUCGGCGCGCUGGCGGCGGCGGCCGGGGGCCGGCAGCUGGCGGGCGGUCCGGCGGCACGCGAUGGCUCCGCGACCGUAUCGUAGUGCCUAAGGACAACGCAGCGUGUGUGGUGGCCACGAGCAGCACGGGCUGAGUUCGCGUGAAUGGGUGUAAAUGUCAGGUGUAUCCGUGUAUGGGCUCUGUUUGUAGUGCCGUAACUCAGGUACGACUUGUAGACUCAGUGCUGUUUGCAGGGCGCGGAGAAACGAGAGGGGCGUGUGCAUCCCUUGCGUGUAUGUAUCAAGGUGGUGUUUCUAGGGGGGGGGGCACGUCGCAACUUCAUCGGAAGGGCAUAGAAUAGAACAUUCGCACAGCCCCCCCAUUGACGUUCCAGGCACGCGGGUCGGUUCUCAAUGGGAUGUCCCGGUGCAAAAAUCAGGAGGACUGUCUUUAAAGUACAACAUAACAUCAGUUCUUGCUUUUCGACACUGGGUGCCGGCGGUGGCGCUGCUUGUGGCGGCCGGCCGGCCUCAACCGCGAAAGUGCCUCCACGGAUGGGGGCACAGACCCGGCGGCCGGGGAUCUCGCUGGACUACGCGACUGGCCGCUCUGCUGCGGGCUGCGAGCGUUAUAACAAUGCAGCCAUCAUCGCGCAUGAAGAGUGAGAAGCGUUUAGCUAAUCAGUGGGGCGCUGUGAUUCGCGCGGGCCGGCCUCUAACUGCCUAUAACGCCUCCGAUUCCGUCGUCUUGUGACUAUUUAUUGUGCCGGCCGCACACGCCCCUUCAAGCGGUAGAAGCUGCCGCAGCGUGAGGCGCGUGAGGGUUCCCAAGUUUAAAAGGGUGGCCCCUAUCGGGAUCGAACCGAUGACCUUGGCGUUAUUAGCACCACGCUCUAACCAACUGAGCUAAGGGGCCAGGUACUGAAUAGAUCUGAUCAUACCCAAAAUUCCGUCAUUUCCGCGCUUCCGGCGCGCCAUUCGGCAGCCCCGUCCUACGCAUUACGGACAUGGUACGCGUGCCGCCACAGCCUCCGCGCCUCCUGCCCAACAGGUGUGGCUGCAGUGGGGCCGAAAUGGCCGAUGCGUGCCGCUGACGCAAUUGUAAGUAAGGAAAUGAAGUGAGUCAGAGCCUGGCCCCUUAGCUCAGUUGGUUAGAGCGUGGUGCUAAUAACGCCAAGGUCAUCGGUUCGAUCCCGAUAGGGGCCACCCUUUUGCGGCACAAGCACCUCUCGCGUCCGAGCGCCCGCGAAGGCCGUGCUCGGUCUGUAAGCUUUCUCAUGAGGGAUUUGCAAACUUCUGGUUGUAGGUUCGAGCCUCACGGCGGGCGCCACGAGGAUGCGAUAUAAUUUAAGCGACAGCGCCACAAGCCCCGAAUGAGAAUGUUUUCUUAAAUCUCGGCGCGCAUGUUCGGAGCAGAGGGGGCGGGCAAGGCCACGUGGAGGAGGACAGCGCGGCGCCGCCUUCAAAGCGGCGCCGGCGCGCAGGUUGAGACCUGCCGGUGUUGUCUGGUUAGCGACCUGUGCUGACGAGGAUGGCGUAGCGGGCAGUCAGCUGCAGCGGCAAGGGUGUUGAGAGGUUUUCCUUGCUGUCUGGUCGGCCUGCUGCCUGCUGCACUAGUGCUUGAUAGCUGGGCGCGACUGGGCACAUAUGGCGGGCGGUGCCUGUACAAACCGACCCCGGCUAUGUCCGGGAGAUGAGGCUAGUAUCGGAACCUUCGGCCUCAGACGGAGGACGUGGCGUGGGCUCAGCCCACUUUUCCCUUGCGAGGGAGAGCCACCUUUUCUUGUCUUCCUACGGCCCUUCCUACCGUCGGCCCCCAACCUGCGCAUUACAGACACGGCGCGUGUGCCGCGGGAGCUGCAGUCCGAGCCCGUGUGCCGGCGGCGUGGCGGGUGGCGGCGCCGGCCACACUGCAUGCACCUGGCGGCGCGGCCUCUGCACCUCCUGCCCCCAGGUAUGGCUGCUAUUUGCGCAGAGCCUGGGCGGCAGGGCGCUGAAGUGCCGCUGAAGUGCCGCUGAAGUGCCGUUGCUGAACCUCACGGUGAAGCAGGCAGCCCAGCCUCAACUUGCACCUGCAUAUGACGCGCUACACGUGCAUCACUUGGCUUUCAUCCAAGAGGCCUACAGCGGUGCCGUGCCGCCAGUGGAAGCGAUUCAUGCUCUGCGUGGGGCCCUGGCACGGCUGUGGGCUCUGGUGUGGGAGCCGUGACACAAGGAACCACUCUGGCGCCUGGCAGCCAAUGGAGUAAUGGCAGAGGUGAGUAAUGGGCUUUGGGAUGCUUGCGGCUUUGGCCGGGGAUGGGCGUGUGAUGAAAUGCCUGUGAGGAACUCAGAUGACUGCUGGGGCUAGGGUUCACCACUUCUGGGACUGUGUAGUGGCGGAGGCUCUGCGUGAUGUGUUGCGGGAGCAUGCAAUUGUGGACAUCGCACAGUUGUGGUUGGUUCAGGCAGUGGUUGGCGAGGUCAAUCAGGGGGAUGGGCAGCAUCGUGGCGGACUGUGAGGAGGUGCCCGUGCCGGUGCCGGUGCUGCUGGCGGUGUUAUUGACGUGCUUGAAGAAACGCAACACGCACUGACGUUGUAGAGCCGAGGUCAGUAAGCUAGCACAUGCAAAAAGAAAAGCGUGAGCAUGAGCAGCGACCGCAACUGCUACGUUACCUUUGACGAGAUAGCCGCGCGCCAAGCUGCGCCACUCCGGCGUCCUAAAGCAUGUGACUCUCAGCUGGUGUAAACGGCUGUCAGAGGCUGGGCUGGCGUAGACUGGCCGCAGACUACCAAGCGAAGGCUGCGAUGCAUUGUGAUAGCGCGAACCCCAAGAGACCCACCUGGAACGCAGCCAGGUAUCCGCUGUGAGCCAGGAGUAGUACGUACAUGCGAGGACAAGAGGAACGAGAACGGCAGAAAGGAGGGUGCGGCAUGGCGGUUGUCAAAACGUUGAGGCUGGCGCAGAAAACAAACCAGGGUGGCUGCCUAGCUGCGGCCGGGCUGAUGCGAAGGCUGACUGGCUGCUGUGAAUGGUGAGCCGAGACUGGUAUGAAAGGCUGGUGCCGGCCAGGCGAGUUGCGCCGCUGCAUGGGGACAUGAUUCGCUGACGGGUGCGGACCGUAGUACGGUGCUGCCGACGGCGGCUGGCGGGCCGGCAAUGGAGCGGCUGGUCACCUGCACACCACAUCGCACACGAACAUACAGCGCACAUGAACACACAGCGGACCAGGAAGGAAAACCCUCGACGGGUGCAAGGAGCGGCUUGAUGUGGCUCCAGCAACAACGACAACAACAACAGCAUUCUUAUGACUUGACGAGCCUUCUUGCUUUUUGCUGCUCGCUAUUACCACCUCUCGCACCCACCAAUGCAACCCGCACCCAACCUACCAAGCCCACCUGACCCACGCAUCUACGCAUGACGCCCAGGCGAACUCCGCCAGGCUCGCACGCCGCCGCGGCACCGCCCGGGCAAGCGGCAGCGCAGCGCCGCCGCAGCGCCCACACCUGCCGCAUCCAGUCCCGCUUGGCGGUAGCCAGGGAGCGCGCGCUGCAACAUGUGUUUGGUAAAAAGAGCACAAUGGAGGUUAAGCGCGAAGGCUGUGUGUGCGAUGCACGUGUUUGUGUAUGUUUUGUGUGUUUGUGACUUUGUGUGCUUGUGUGUGUUUGUGACUUUGUGUGUUUGUGUGUGUUUGUGGAGGGGGUAUUUUACUUUUACUCCACCGAGACCCAGCACCCGCCCAACGAGCACGGGAAGGGGGGGGCGGGGGCGACAGGAGCAGGAGGUGCAUGAGGGUGUGUUUGGUGUACAUGGGGCCAGCUGGGCACCAGGGGUGCUGGGCACCACCUGCAGGCGCUGAGCACAAGGUGGCUGUGGGCGCGUGCGGCCGUACACGCACCCGGCAUACAUGCGCGGCGCCCUGCCCGCCCACGAUAUUCGGGCCCCCCAGCAGCACAACACCUGAACACUUGUUUAUGCCCCGCGCGGUGCCCCACCCACCGGUCCUCCACCCACUCCGCUGCCCCGCCCCCACCCCACCAAACCACCCACCAGGUCGCUGCCCGCCAGCGCCUCCACCGCCUCCGCCGGGAACUCCUCCACACACGAGGGCUGCCAGCCGCCGCCCAAUGACAAUACCCCAUGUCAACCCCCUCAUACCCGGGGGCCACCGCCUCCUCCCCCUCUCCCUGCCCCUCCUCAUCUGGCGGCGGUGGCGGCGGCAGUACGUCAAAGGUAGCCAACAGCCAUAUGUAGCUUCUGGCUCGAAGGCGCUUACGGAUUUGCACGGAAAGCUACAUUACCGUAAUACAUAGUGACGGGACACCAGGACUCAUCGACCAUCCAACGCUCGCAGGUCGCCGCUGCUCUGGAGACUGGAUGCUGGAGCCUGAGGACUGGACUGGAGGAUGAAGCUGGCCAGUUGACGUUGAUGUUGUUUAGUUCGUUAGGAUGCACGCACGUUGGUCGGUCGGUCUCUACUGCCUUGUCUACUGCUCAGUGCGGCUCUUGCACGCGUGUGCGGUUCUAGACUGCAUGUCUAGCACAUUCACGCGCCGGACUUCCACCGGUCCGGUCCGGCGGCCCCCUCGAUUCUAUCUCGAGCCUUUGAUGGGGCGCUCUGUCACUGUGGCUGCUGGGUAAAGCGUAGCCAGGGGGGCUUACGUCCCUUCCUUGGGGUGUGUGAGGAGUUGGUGGACUUCAGACCCCUACGCCGUGUGGGGGGUCGGACUGGGUGGAGAGACUUGACCACAACAAUGCGUGCGCUUAACGCGAAUGAUCUCGAACGCGAAUGAUCUCGACGCGAAUGAUCUCGGCGAGGCGUUACAGAAUCGCGCGUGGGGCCCGCGGGUCGGUAGCAAAAUGGGAUGUCUCUGGGAGCCCGCUGGAUCAAAAGCGCUGUCACAACUCAAACGGAGGACAGUCGUUAAAGCACACCAUCUGUUUAUUCUCGUCUAGUUUGCGAACAUCAGCAACUGCCCUCGGCGUGGUUAUUACUGCAGUCAGCAGAGGUUGCUCUGAAUCGAAAUACCCGCACGACUCAGAGCAGUUUUCGGCUCGACCAGCAGCGCCAGCGUCAGCAGCCGUGCCGCCCGGCGCGGCGGCGCCACCCGCAGCGGACGCGUCAUAUUGCGUCUCCUCUUAAGAGCUUUCAUGUACCUCCAGAAGGCAGUUGUGUGCUCGGGGCUUACGUCGCUAUUACUGCUGGCGGACUCCGAGCCAGCUCGGCUCGGCUCGGCUUGCUCGAGUCAGCCAGUAGCGAUAGCGAUGUAAGCCCUGAGCUCUUUAGGCGGGUCGAGGGGUUGCCGCUGUGUGCGGGUGGCACCGCUGGCUGCCGGCGCUGGCGCUGCUGGUGGCGCCGCUGCUGCUGCUACUGCUGGGGCCAGACCCGCCGCCACCACCGCCGUUGCCGUCACUGCGGCGCAGGCCGCGCUCUACCAAGCAAGCAGCAUCUCCAUCAGCUCGGCAAGGCUGAGGUGCUCCAUGGCACGUAUUGGGGCGCACCUGGCAGACCCGCUGCCAUCGCCACGCGAGCAUCGCGGAUGCCGUUGCUGUCGUACAGUUAGGCACGGCGGCAGGAUUGCAGCAGAGGUGCACGCGUGGCAUUCGCAUAGAGACCGAGUUCAUAUAAAAGCUGUGUGAGGUGGUGUUGGCUGGCGUAGCUAGGCCGGGUGCUGGUAGAUAGCCGUACAGGGUUGCGUGGCGGCGCUGGCGGCGGCCGUCGGGAAUGGGUAUGCGGCUAUGCGCACGGGUAUGCGCGGGCGUUGCAUGGGGCGGCAGAGGCGUUUUCCUUGCAUGCGUGCGUGUGUUUGUGUGUGUGUGUGUGUGGGGGGGGGGGGCGGGGGGUAGUUCAUUCCAAUUCCAACGAAACCAACAUCCAGACCCAGACCCAGAGGGGUUGCGCUCAAAGUAAUGAAUGUCCGCUUUGCCCUCUCGCGCACAAACGGUUGCAGCCGGUUGCGGCCACCUGCACUCGGAAUCUUCUUUGUGCUCGCAUAUGUAUCAGCCAGCCCUGUGCUCCUACGUGCCUCCUUGCCUACGUAUGCCGGCCCCCCCAAUCUCAGUUGCACGCAAAAGGGUUCGCCACCCCCGCCUUCUGCCGAGGGCGCCACCGCCCCACGCCGCCCUGACGUCCAUCACCUCCGCACCAGCCCGCACACAAACCCACCUGCACCAGCACCCAAGCACGCCCAAACAUUGACGCCAUGCAAUCACCCACACACAGUCCUGCGCAGCGGAUGGCUCUUUCGCAGCACCGCCAGCAGCACUGGCCCUCUACCUAAUGUCACCCUUCCGCUCCUCGCCAACCGUUCUUAAACAGACCUUGCAACGUUUGCGUCACGCUCUCCUUGAACCAUACUAAUUCAAGCGCCACACGCCUGCCUCAUUCCAUCAACCGCUAACAGACGGUAAUCCCCGUACAAGCUCCCAGCGCCCAACACCAAUGGUAGUUUAGUUGGUCUCCAUGGGCGCCUCGGAGCUGGCCUCGGGCCCGGGGCUGGCCUCGCUCUCCAUCGGCUCAGGCGAGGCGGCGGCGGCGUCCGCGGCACCCGGCUCCGCGGCGGCGGGCGCGGGCGGCGCCGCGGGCGCGGGCGCUGGCCGCGACAGAAUGGGCUUGCACACGCGAUCCACUGCGGCACGAGGGGAAGCGGGUAAGUCAAAAGCGGCAUUGCGCCACGCACUGUUUUGAAACAAGCUAAAGUGCGGCACGCGCUGUUUUGCAAAGACCAUUGCAUCCCUCAGUGGCCGUACCCCUCACCCCAACGACUCACGGGUUUCCCGCUUCUUGUUGAUGUCGGCGGUGAGGAGCGCGGGCUCGUCGGCCUUGGACAGCUUGGACUGCAGAGCCAGCCGCUCGUCUGGACAGGCCACGAGCAGCAACAGCGGCAGCGGUAGCAGCAACAGUCAGCAACAACAGGCGUAGCAAGGUUGUAGCGGCGACGUGGAUCUGGGGACAAGGCAGAGCCAGGAAACGCCGCUAGCUCCUGCCCCGCAACUUGCAUACCUUGGGUUUACCCGCGCCACCCAAAACCCACCGCCCGUACCCGCCCAUCCCCGUCACUCACUCAGCCACGCCAGCGCCGCGUCACACUCCUUGACCACGGCCGCCUUCUCCUCCGCGGGGAUGUGCGCUAGGCUGGGCUUGUCGCCCUUGGCGCUGUCCAGGUAGGAGGCGGCGGCGGCGCGCAGGGCCUCCACCGCGGGGCCGCGCGACUGGUCCUCGGCGUAGCGGCCCUCCACGGGCGCGCCCUUGGCCUUGAGCUCCUCCAGCUUGGAGGUGUAGACCGACUUGGUGGUGUCCUCGCCCUGUGGGGUUUAGUUUUGGGGGUGCAGUGGGAGCGGGAGCGGGGGCAGUAAUGGGUUGGAUGGGGUUGUGGGGUUGGGGUUUUGGGUUGGGGUUUGGGGUGCCCAGGCCUGCUGUAAAUGUAUGACGGCAGGGUGUGGGACCGCGUUUGCAGACCCGCUCCGCUUCCGCGCCCUCAGCACGACGCGCAUGAAGCCCAGUCCUCCCCGUACACCCUCCGCCGCCACCCCUCACCUCGUCGUAGAGCCAGUCCUCCAUGGCCGUCAGCUGCGCCUGCAGCACCUUCUUGUCCGCCUCCUUGAUGAAGGGCGCGUACACGUCGUACAGCUUGUUGCGCAGCUCGUACACGUAGCUGCGGGGGGGGCACAUUCAUGAUUAGCUAAGUGGUAAACGGUAGGCAAUGUUUGGGGGGGUUACAUUCAUGAUUAGUUAAGGAAGUGGGGGGGGGCGUGUGAGGGUUUGUGCAACAUUAAGGACAUACAGUGCUUGUCACGAUGUGUCCAAUCUCAGCUCUCAAGGCCCUGGCCACCUCGAGGGCCCGUGCCCGGAACAGAGCCUGCCACGCCGUCCAACCCGUGCCCAUCCCCAUGCCAGUCCCAUCCCAGGGCACAAGCAACCGCACCCCCUCCCCCUCUCCACCCCUGCCCUUCUCACCCCUCCAGCGCGUUCUUGCGCUCGUUGGUCUCCUCCUGCAGGCGGUCCGCCGCCUGCAUCUGGCACUCCUUCUCAAAGAAGUCGUCCAGCUGCGACUUGGAGUAGCCGCACGCGCCCACACACUGGACUGGCACGUCCGUCUUCUUCACCUGGGGGGAUGGGGUUACAGUCAUGGUUCACUCAGGAGAAAGGAAGUGGUGUUACAUUCAUGAUCAGCUUAGGAGAAGCGAAGUGGGGUUACAUUCAUGAUUAGCUAAGGAUUUGGUGGACGGUAGGCAAUGGGGUGGGGAAGGAGGAUGGGGGAUGAAGGGAAGCGGGAGGGGGAGGAGUUGCGGACGUGAAUGACCCCGGGGAGGCUGAGAGAAGCACAAGGGAGAGUACCGUAAUCGCUUCGCCGAGAGUCUGUGCCUGCUGCGCUGCGUGGCGUGGGGGCCGAGCUGCUGUGUGCGUCGGUUCCUUCCCGACGCAGUGAUUCACUCAUGCGAGAUAGGCGCGGCGCCACAGCACAGCGCAGCACAAGCGCCCCCAAUUCCCACUGACCUUCUUCUUCUUGGGCGCGGGCGCGGGGGUGGCGUCCAUGGGCGCGGCCUCGCCGUUGGCAGGGGCGGCGGCGUCGUCCAUCUUGGCGUCAGCGGCGGCGGGGGCGGCGGCGGGCUGCGGGAGGACAGCGGGAGAACAGCGGCGGAGGCGCAUUGGUGUCUACUGACCACACAACAUCCGCGCAUACACACGACCACAGGCCAUUGCUUCCGAUGGGCGCGCUGCCCCCAUUCUCGUGCCCUGUUCCCCCAGCCGGUCCUGUGCCCACUCGCCGGCUUGCCGGCCCCGGGGCCCCCUUAACCCCUUCCCCCGAUCCCUCCCUUGUCCCUCUGCCUCCUCACUUCUUCGGAAAUGGUGACAACGACCCCUACCCUCUAUCCCGUGCCCCUAUCCCGCCCCCAACCCAAAUCCCCGCUCCUGCCCACCUCGGCCAGCUCCUCCUCCUCAAUGGCCUGGCACUGCUCCACGUGCGUGAGGCCGUGCAGGUUCAUGCUGAUCUUGAGCUUCAGCUUGGCGGACUCGGCGCCGGGCGGCACCUGGGCGGGCGGCGAGGCAGGGGGACGGGCAGGCAGGCGGAGGUGAGGUGACGGUAGGUGGGGUGAGGGGCAACGCCAGGAGCAGCACCAGGGGCAGCACCAGGGGUCCGGAGACUCGCCGCCACUACCCCCCUUGGUUUCGGUUUAGGUUGGGCUGGUAUCUGCAACAACCCCCACCCCCACCCCCGGCGGCGGGUCUCAGGCACCCAGGCCGUACGUCCCCACCGUCACAUCCCUUUUCACCUUACCCCACCCCAGUAUGUUCCUGCUGGUCCUCAGUUGCUACUUGACGUCGGCGCUUCAUACACUUUGAUUUCACCACUCCGUUCUCCCCAUGAACGGCUUACCCCUCCCCCUCCCGCCCUCCUCUCCUCCCUCCACCCCGUCGCCGCUCACCGUGAAGGGGCCCACGCUGUACACGCCCAGCUGCUUGUCGAAGGAGGGCGGCAGCAGCUGCGCGGGCGUGUCCAGGUCGUAGUGGGCGCGCACGCUGAAGGGCUGCGCGCGGUUGAACGAGAUCAUCUUGGUGCUGGGGAAGGCCUCGCCUGCAGGCAGGAGAGGGGGUUAAGUGCAUGGUUAUUCUAGAGCUGGAAGGUGGAGUGAGUGAGUGAGUGAGGAGUGGGUGACGAGUGAGGAGGGGUUGAGAAGAGGAGUGGGCGAGGAGGAGUGGGUGAGUGGGGAGCGGGCGAGGAGGGGGUUACAUUCAUGAUUAGUAAAGGCGGGGGUGAAGAGUGGGUGAGGAGUGGGUGAGGAGAAGGGUGGCUAGUUAGGCGAUGGCGGGGAGUAAGGGUUGUGGUGAGGGGGCGUGGGCGGCAACGCAAGCCGCUGUCCCUCCCCGAGCCGUCGGCGCACUACAGCGCCGCUGGCCCACCACCGCUGUGCCCCCUGCCCCUGCCCCUGCCGCUGUCGCUGUCGUCACCCACCGCGCUUGAACAGCGUCUGCGUGACGGUGCUGCCGUCCUUGCCCUCCCAGCUGAAGCACACGCUCAGCGGGCAGGAGUCGAUCACCUCGAAGUCGCGGACCUGUGCGGCGACGGCAGCGGCGGACACAAGAGGAAUGUCACAGAAGUUUAUUACCAGAUGGCGGGGGCGCCAGUCCACGCAGCUAGCCAGCCGUGGGGAGAGUGGGGCUUCCGACUUGCUGCCGUGCCGCAUUUAAGACCUUGGUGCCCUAAGCCAUGGUUCUUGGGCCAGGUGUCCUGAAACACCGCUGGCCGUGCGCCCGCCCCUGCGGUCACCUGCGCCUCUCCAAAAGCACCGCACCCGCCUCACCCCUCGCCAGUCUCACCUACCGGUAUCACCCGCCGCUGCCUGCCCCUGCCCCUGCGCCGCCACUGCCUGCCCCUGCCCUUGCACCACCACCCCUGCACCCCCUCGCCUCCUCACCUUGAACACUGGCGACAGCAUGGCGCACUGCAGGGCGGCGCCGCGGCUGACACACUCCUUGGAGUUCAUGGUGCGGCUGGGGGCCUGUGGGGAGCGGAGUGGAGGGGAGUGGAGUGGAGGGCGGGUGGAGGGCAGGGUUGAUGGGUUAGUGCGGCAGGAGCAGUAGUGGAGCGUCAGAGAAUGCAUGCGGACGAGUGCAGGCUGUGUGGGCGUGAUUGCAGUUGCGCAUGGCGGAAGCUGUGUGGCUGGUGGUGUGUGGGGGGGGUUGUGGGGGAUGUGUCCCGAGUUCUACACCGCAGGGCCCACGAGUCAGGGCCGCUGCAGCUCUAGCUCCGGCCGCGGCGUGAAGCCUGAUGUGGCCCGCAAAUGCAUGACGUUCCAUGCCAUGGUGUUGGGGCACGGCGUCGCCAAUGCAGGCACCACUCACUGCAACAAAAUUUUCCCUGGCCGGCUUUUGUCACCCUGGCCUCAGCCUGCCCGCGCCUUUUGAACCCCCUCCCCCAAAACUGACUUGUACCUCUUCUUUUUGAGCUCGCAUUUACUCACGCCCACCUUGCAUGGAUGGGGUUCGUUGGGCUCGGGCAUCUAAACCCCGUCCUCCUCCCCCUCCCCUCCUCCUUGCCCCCAAACCUGCCCCCAAACCUGCCCCCAAGCCUCCUCCUGCCCCACCUUCUUGAACACCUCUUCCACCACGCGGCACACGCAGGGCGUGCGCGUGGCGCUGCCAAUCACCUCCACGCUGGACAGGUCCUCCACCGUCAGGCCGCUCUCCGCCAGCGCCGCCUCCAUGGGCGCACGCAGCCUGGCGAUCACUGGCUCCGCCAGCUGCUCAAAAAUCUCGCGCGUCAUCAUGCCGCUGCAGCAGUUGGUGGUUGGGGAGCGGCAUUAGGGCGGUUGGUGGUGUGCUCCCAUUGUCAUCAUACCCCCCCCCCCCGCUCUCCCCCCCCCUUGCCUCCCCUGCGUCCUCCCUGUCUCCACCCGCCCCAGCCUCUCACGUUCGGCUUGCUUCGGGUGCCGGAAUGAAGUACGCCCCCCCCAUCCACCCGCCCCUCACCACCCUGUCCCCCCGCCCCCGCCCCUCGCCCCCCCCCCCUCUCACCGCAGGUCCUCGUCCUCCAUGAUGCACUCCACGUUGAGCGGCGCCUCGCUGUUGGCCGACAGCAUCUUCUUCACCUGCAGGGCGCGAGCGAGUGUGUUGUGUUGUGCUUGUUUUGUGCGUGCGUGUGUGCAUGUAGGUGCUGGUGCUUGUUUGUACUCUGCUGGCCACAACCACAGACCCCUACAAACACACACACACACACACACACACACACACACACACACACACACACACACACACACACACACACACAGCCGCCGCCCCACCUUCUCCACCGCCACGCGCAGCUUGAAGGCGCCCUUCUUGUUGUCACGGAUGUCCAGCUUGGUCUUGGCCCUGUGGGCACACAGGCAGGCAGUGAGAGACACACAGAUUAACAAUGCCACCGACUCCUCCACGACUCCUCUCCAGCAGCGCCGCCGACCUGCUCUUAGCCGGCAUGCCUUGCGCCCUAGCGCCAUGAUUAUUCCCCCCCCUCCCACACACACACUCGUCGUCAUUCCAAAGCACUAGCACGCUAGGUGACACGCCAACAAACUCACUUGAACUCGGCUGCAAAGUGGUCGAACAGCACCUCGUCAAAGUCGCGGCCGCCCAGGUUGCGCUCCCAGGCGUGGGAGCGCACCACCAGCUGCGAGCGCUUGAGCGACACGAUGGCCACCUGAGGGGGGCGAGGAGAAGGCAGGGGGAGAGAAGAAGGGGUGAAAAAACAUUGGGACCAGGAUACAAGCAGGGGGUUCAGGGGACAAUAGGGAGGGGGGAGGGGUUCAGGCGUGGGGUUCAGGGGAAGGACGGGGUCGUAAGGAGGGAGCAGGGCGCUGUUUGCUCAUGAGUCCAAGCAGGGUGCCCACGCCCCUACACACCACACACGUCCCUCAACCCCACAGCCCCACACGCCCAUGGUUUCAACUACCCAACAGCGGUACCUCCACGCCCGUGCCACACGGCCCCCGACGACGCACACGCGCGCACCUGCGUGUGGCUGUGCCCGAUGUCCACGAACGCCACGUGCACGGGGUCAGUCUCCGGCAGGUCGGUCUUGUAGAUGCCGUAAGCCAGGGCAGUGGCGGUGGUCUCGUUGAUCAGGCGCAGGCAGUUCACGCCGGCGAUCUGUUAUCACAUGGGCGGGUUUGGAAUGGGUUUGGAAUGGGCGGUUUCAUCGGGUUGUGGCUUCGACGCGAUGCCGUGCGCGAGCAGGCACCGGCGUGACAAACCCGUUUACGGAUCUUACACGCCCGCUCCUCAAGACAGCCGCCGCGGCGCCUCCUUCCAUUCCGUUUCGCCACCUCUUCCGCACACCUCUUCCACGCCCUGCUCAGGCCCCUUUCCAACUUCUGUUGGGGGUUUCCUCGUUCUGUGUCCCCUGCCCCCCCACGCACAACACACACACACACACAUUCCUUCCACCCUUCCUCCCCACCGCCUCCCCCUACCUGCGCGGCGUUGAGCAUGGCGUACCGCUCCGCCUCCACAAAGUAGUCGGGCACGGACAGGGCGCAGUCGGUGACGGCGAUGCCGCCCUCCGCCUCGGCAAUGCGCUUCAGGUCCACAAUCACCAUGGCCAUGACCUGCGGAGGAGGAGCAGGGGUGGAGGAGGACGGCUCAGCACGGGUCGCAGAACGGAGGGUAAGAGCAACCCGGCUCGACAUCGCGAAGCAUCAGCCCUCAGUUCCGUACGCGCACACGCACGCGUUCCUUCGCCUCCGCAGACCCUUCCCUUCCCUCCCCUGCACUUUCCCCUCUGCCGGCCCUCACCUGUCCUUUCCCUUCCGUCGCGUAUGCCAUGCCGCCCUGCCCCCGCCCCCACACGCCCGUUUUUCUUACGCAUCGACACACUAUCUCCCUGCCCCACCCCGCCUCCACUCCCAUCUCCCUCCCCAUCUCCCUCCCUACCACCUCCCUCCCCCCGCCCCCACCUGCUCGGGCGUGAACACGGCCUCCUCGUUGCAGUAGCGCACUUUGAUGAGGCAGCCGCCGUCCGGGCCCUCAAUCACGGCGAAGGGCAGGCGGGCAAUGUCCUCCUGGACCUGCGGGGGCGGAGAGAGGGGACAGCGGUGGGGAGGUGGGCACACAGGUGGGGGUGAGGUGAGGCCGAGGCCGAAUUGAGGUGCGCAGAGAGAUAGAGAAAGUUUGUCGCAGGUGAAGUGCCCAAACGACACCACACCGCACUGCACCACGUCUCACCACACCACACCCUGACAUGCCAGACACCUCUGCGUCGCUGCCGUACGGACAGGCGCACACAUUUCACACGCGCGCACACGCACACGCACACACACACAUACACACACUGGCUCCCCCCGCGGGGGAGCCUCACUAUCAGGUGAGAAUUGAUAUGGAGUGGACGAGACUCAGGGGGAGUUGUGCCCGGUAAACGUUGUUAGCGCGUCGCCGACGCGGAGCAUGGCAGCGCAUGCGGGUGCACCUCGGGAAUGCCAAACGCCCGGGUAGGGGGUUCCAGGCAACAUGCGGGUCAGUAUACUCAAGGUGACAACUGGGGCAACAUCGCCCACCGCGGAGCUCGGUAACCGGCGUAGGUAUUUGUCCGUAACUGCGCACGCGUGUUUGGCGGCUUUGUUCCGUUUGUUUUGUGUUUAACACACGCACACACGGACACACACACGCACACACACACCACACACACGCCGCCGCCCCCACCUGCGGGUCCUUGAACUUCUUGCCCAGGAUGCGCUUCAGCUGGUGGACCGUGUUCUGCGGCUGCAGGCCCAGCUUGGCGGCGCCGUCAGUGCCCAGGAAGCGCAUCUUCUCGCCUGGGAGGGGUGGGAGGAGGCAGGGUGAGGGUGAGGGUGAGGGAGAAAUGUGAGCGGGCGCGGUGUCGUGGCGCGCGGGCGGAAAGGACGGGGGCCCUGGGUUGCGUGAGCGAGGGAAGGCCGCCAACGGGCUGUCAGCUGUCCUGUGGGCACGCCCGGUGGCGCCGCCGGCACCCCAGCGCUGCGAGGCGAGGCUGAUGACGCGCCAUCGGCAACUGGCAGCUGCACUGCUCCUUCCCCAGCUCCCCGCCCACAGGCCUUCCAUGCAUACCAACGUCCGCAUCAGAGCAUGUGCUGCGGGCUGCAAGCCAUUCUUUAAGCCCCCAGCCGCGUCUCCCUUGAAGCCGCCAGCCGCGUCCGGCGGGGAGCCACGUCAGCCGCCCACAUCCGGCCGGUCCCCGACCACGGGGCCAGCAGCACAGAGCGCAGCGUCCGGGUCCCGUCGGGAAGCGCUCGCGGCGCCCCGUCCCCUGGGCUUCGCCGCCGCCUGGCUGCAGACGGCGACUGCCGCCCCGCACCCAGGGUGUGUGCUCAUCCUGGCUGCUCGCUGGUGCCUACGCCACCGGUGCCGGCAGGGGCGACGGCGCGGGUCGCAGCAGAACAGGGGCGGCGCGGGGCGGCGCGGGGCGGCGUGUCACGCAUCGCCGUGGACCCCGGGCCCCUGCACGCCCCGCCCGGCCCCGGUUGGCUGAGCCCAUGGGACCCGCUUGCGCUCGCGGGCGCAUGCUGCUGGAGCUCAGAGGCAGGCGUGUGGGCGGCAAGGCCCCGGGAUCUUGCUCGGCAGCGGGGGCUGCGGGUAGCUGUGGGUGGCUGCGGAGGCUGCGGAGGGCUGCGGUGACCGCCGCUCCCCCCGAGAGCCUGCCAGCUGUCCGAGCCGGCCGCGUACGUCUGUGCGCCUCCGCCCCACGCCGGCUGCUUGGGCCAGAGGGAUGUGCUGGCUCUGGGCACUAGGCAUCUGCUGGACCGCCAGCGGUGACUGGAGCUGCCAGCAGCCGCCUUAGGCAGGGUCGAUGUGGGCGGCAGAGGCGGUGCUGCUGCGCUGGCGGGGGUCAAGCCAACCAACCGGCGUGGUCGCGAGGGGCGUCGCCCUUCAACCCGGUCACGGCCCCCGUGAAUUGGCAUCGCAGCAAGGAAGUAGUUUCCCGCGCUGUCUUGUGCUGCGAGUCUGGAGAGCGCCCGAAGGUUCCUCUGGAAGGCUCCAGAUCGGAAGCCGCCAAUCGUCGCGCGCUCCCACCCCCGUGCACUCCCCACGAUGGCGCAGGUGGACAGUAACUCACCGAAGUUGAUCGCGGCAGGCGUCUCACGCUUGCUCUCCUUGUUCAUGAUGACAUCGAUGCCCCUCUUGCGGGCCAGGGCCACGCAAGAGGUAUCGUUGCCAACAUCGAAACCAACAACAGAUACAAGAGCCUGCGAGCAUCAUAUAGCGUGCCAGAAGGUGAGCAAGCGUAAACUAGCCACCGAACUGCCACCCGUUUGGCGCCGAUUGAAGCUUGAGUCCUCAAGAGCAAGCCCCGACAAUGUGCUUACCAUUCUUGCGGGUAUAUGAACCUAGUCUUCAGUGAUCUAGGUGCCAACGUGCAAGGAAUUGGUCAAGUUAUCAAGUUGUAUACGUAAAAUGUAUCGUAUGGUUUGCACUGGGUGCACCUUUGAUAAAGGUAUACCUCGAUAUGUAAAUUGGGGGAACAAUGACGCUGUCAGCUUCUGGACCUUCUUAAGCGCGCCCGACCUUGGCAUGCCAGUGAGCAUGCGAUGGGCGCCUUUUCCGAGAAAGUCCAAGCCGAUGUUCCAGCAUCGAGGAUGAUACAUUGAACUUUCAAGUUCAUAGUUAUACGCUUCGAGGCCAGGCUUUUGAGCGACAGUUAGAUGGUUCGACUGCAUCCGCCAGCGCGCGUGCUGCGAGCACGAGGGCUGCAGCUUGAGCAGGGUGGUGAGCUAUACGGUAGUGUUGUUGUACAGAGUUGUGGCGGCUCCAUUUAGAGCCUGGGGGACUGCCUGGGGCACGCGCUCACACCCGCAACACCCCCAUUGCCUUGCACUGCAGGUCCAUGGGCCUGGACCAAGUGGGCAGGCGCCAGUGGCCAGGCUGCACUUGCCGCGCCAUGUGCCAGCACAGAGGAUGCCACAGGCAGCGACAGCAGUAGCACUGCCGAGGCGCCUGCUCAGCGCGGCUGCACAGGCUCGCCGCCAGCUUGCCCGCCAGCAGCCUGGGGUCAGCAGGCAUCGCUGCUAGGCCACCGGCCAUACCACGCCUGUCGUACUAGCACAUGGACCGUACCGGUGGGGCGUGGGGCGUGCGGCUGCGCUGAGGCCGGCGCUGGCAUUUGGGCCCGCCCGGGGCCCGCCUGCAGCGCCCCCGCCGGCGAUGCGUGCGCCAACCAGCCGCUGCUCCUCAGACCCGUCAGCAUUGCAACUGCUACUGCUACUGCUACUGCCACUGCCACAGCUACAGCUGCGUCUGGCGCCGCCAUUGGCAUCACCUCCAGCUGGGCUGCCGCAACGGCUGCCUCUGCCGCAGCUGUCACUGGCAGCGGCCGCAGAGCUCCGGAGAGCUCGCCCGGGGCUGCUGCUGGUGCUGGAGCCCGAGCUCGUGACGGUGCGGGUGCCGUCGGGCACACAGCAGUCGCCGCGUGGUGGCGGACUCGCCGCAUCGGAGGCCAUGCGCCGCCAUUGGCGCUCGGGCUACAUCGCGGGCUUGCGACGACACGGGAACGUGCCGGGAAUGGUGGCGCACGCUCGGGUGUUGGCGGCGGCGGCAUGGGCUCGCAGCCUGGCCGCGGCUUUGCCACCAGACCCGGCUCUGGCGCCGGCACGGCCGCUGGCACGGCCGCUGGCGGCGCUGCCGACGCGCAGGCGAAGCCACUGCCGUUGCGCUCGGCUCUGCGGGCGCUGUACAGGCGCGUGCACCCGGACCUGUUCCACGACAGCGCCACAGCCAAGGUGACGUAUGUGUGGUGGGCGGUUAUGUGCCCGGGCCCAACGAAAGAGUCCCAUCAUCAUCAGGGGGGAUGAGGGCAUACGGUGGGAUACGGUGAUGAUGGAGAUGAGGUGAUGGCGGCGGCGCGGCCGACAGCCGUGCGACUGAACAAGCAACUCUAGCUACCCCAGCCGUUCCGGUUAAGCGGGGUUGGAGAGACGUUGAACUGGCUGCCGUAUCGGCAGCUAUGGCUGCCGUACAUACAGUGACUAAAGUACGAUUUAAUCUCACAGGCCGAGAAUGAGCGCUCGCUCAAGCUGUUGCAUGAGUACCUGGCGCUAGCCCGCGGUGGCGACGGCCGCUCGCCGGCGGCCCGGCUGCCGUACCGGUUCGUGUUCUACAUGCGGGAGGCGCCCUCAGGUGAGGGGGCGGGGGCGGAAGGCGGUGUGGCGUGGUGCGGUGCGGUGCGGUGCGGUGUGGUGUGGUGUGGCGUAUUCAAGUGUGGGCGCACGGCGAUGCCAGACAGGCGAGCGCCGGAACGCUGCAGCGGUGGCGGCUAGGACACAACUGAAGUUCCAGGUUGCGCUCUGAUGUAUUCGCACACACACACACAUACACAUACACACAUAUACACACACAUACACACACAGGGCCUUCGGAAGCGGGGGAGCCGGAGGCCGCGGCAGCCGGGCCGGCGACGCCACCGCUGCGGCCACGCGCCGGCGAGACGGGGCCACCGCCGCAGUCAAUGCGACCGGCCGGCGGCGGCGCCGCCACACCCCCAGCUCCGGGGGCCCCACCAGCGGCACCAUCAGGCACGACUGGGGCGGCGGCGGCAUCGGCAUCGGCAUCGGCAUCGGCAUCGGCAGCAGGAGCUGCAUCGGCAGCAGCAGCAGCAGCAGCAGCAGCAGCAGGGACAGGGACAGGGACAGGCGCAGGCGCAGGGACAGGCGCAGGCGCUGGCGCUGGCGCAGGCGCUGGUGUUGGUAGCGGGGAAGUGGGGGGAGCAGGGCCGGUAAGAGGGGCAGCCGGCGGGGUCCAGCGCCGGAGCCCGGAGGCGGCUGGGGUCGACACGGCGGCCGGCACGGGCCACCUGCACAAGGUGGAACUCACACUGCCGCCGCCAGCCAUCACCACAGCGGGUGAGGCCGGGGGCGAGUUAGCGAGUGAGACACACGCACACCUGCGUCGGGCCGGGCAGUCUACUGUUCUAUCACUUGCUAUCAGGACGUAGAUGCUGUUCCCACUUGGCAAAGGGGCUACGUGGCAUGGAUGAGGAUGGCGACGUGCUGCCUGGGUGAAGCGUGUUGGGCCUGUUGUGAUGACGCCGCGCCACGUGUCCGCCCUCAAGGGCCCGUAAGGCUCGCGCGGCCAACCCCCUCUGGUGUAUCUGGCCUUCUCUAAUCUCUCAUCGGCAACGGUGAUAACAACCCCCCACCCCUGUGCCUGGCUACGACUUCAAAAUCUGAAUGUAGCCCCACCCGCUGCCUGCAUCCGCACCUGCACUUACUGCUGCAGACAGCCGCACCCUGGCCGGCCCCACACGCAAGGCGCUGGUUAAGCUGCUGGCGGCGUGCGGCGUGGCCACCACUGGGCACGACGGGGCCGAGGGCGGCGAAGGCGUUGGAGGCGGCGAGGGCGGCGAGGACGGUGGCGGGCCGCUCAGCCUGGCUGCGUUCCUACCGGAGGCCGUGGAGGCGCUGAGACAGGUGUGCGGGAGCGGGUUGGGGGGGGGGUGGCGGUAGUGGUGGUUGUGAGAACGAAAACCCAAUUUGGUGGUACGGUACUUGUGAGCGGGGCGGAUGGGUGCUCUUACAGGGGGAAGGACGGGCUGUGUGGGGCCGCCGGGAUCACGCGUGCAGCACCUGCCUGAUGUGACGCUGUCUUGCCACCCGCUGCCACCCAGGCGGAGGCGGCGCGGCCGUCAGACCCCGCAGUGCGAGUGGCCAACCUGCGAGGCGCCCUGCGGCUGCACCACCAGGUGUGUGCGAGUGUGUGUGUGUGUGUGUGUAUAUAUGUGUGUGUGUCAAAAGGGAAAGGAAGGGUGUGCACCACCAGGUACGUGUGUGGGGGGAGGGGUUGCAAAUACCUGCCCAAACCAAACCAAAAGGAGGGGGGUUAAAUCUGAACCAAUCCCGUAAGGAAACAGAAGUGCUGGGGGGGAUGUCAACGCGCGUGCAUAAGACGGACUACUCCUGUUGAUGGCGGGUUGGCUCGCCAUGGCUCUGCAACUGUUUACCCAAACAUCUGCCGUGUGGGCCCGCAGGUGAUGGUCAGCUUUGCCAACAAGCUGAUGCCGCCUGCCAAGCAGGUACGUGACCCGCGUGCUUGAAUGGACAGCUUUUAAAGUAUUGGAAAAGUGCCCAAGCCCCAAGCACUUGGUACCAUUCAUACUUCUCGAGAUGUGCAGUAAUGAUGAUCGCACUGCCUCCCAAGUUCCAACAGCAGCUGACAGCCUGGCAACGGACCGCCUGUAGAGCUCGCCCUAUGACGGCGCAGUCACAAUGAGACCCCUAGCGCAGAUGUCGCGCGCACACACACACACACACACACACACACGUAAAUACACAUAAGCACACGUAAACACCCACAGCUGUUGGCGUCCUGGCACUCCAUUGCACUCUGUUGCACUCCGUUGCACUCCGAACACACCAUGCCCUGCCUCUGGUUUUGCUCAUCCCGCACGAACCGCGCCCCAGGUGGCGCUGCUGGAGCGGCUGGCCGUGGUGGUGGACGCCGUGGCCCGCAGUGCGCGUGUGCGGCUGGGCGGCUGCCACAUCGUCAUCGGCGACAGGUGCGACCCAGGCCUACCUGCCCCGGACCCGGACUCGGACCCGGACCAGGUAGACCCUGCGAGCCGAGGCAUUGCCACCAUUGGCCGCCUUGCACGCCGGCGCGGCUGGUCGGACACACACGUGCCGCCGCGCACGUACGUGUCGCCACCGUGCGGCUGCAGCUCCGCAUGCGCCGGCGCAGCCUGCUGAAAGCCCAACCGCACCAGGCCGUCCUCCGCACCCUCCUCGGCAAGAUGAAUGCAUCACAUGGUCACUCCUCGUACGCUCCAUGACACCCCAGCACCACCCCGUCACGCCCCACUUGCAAACGCCCCUGCAGGCUGGGUCUGGACCGGCUGGGUCACCUGUGUGUGGCGGCAGACGAGGAUGACGCCGCCUGGCGCGCCUUCCUGACAGGCGUGGACCUGGGCUUCGUGGCGCAGCAGCGCAAGACCGUGCAGGUGGGCGGGGCGGGGGUUGUUUUCACCGUUCCCAGGGGGAGAAGAGAGUUACCAAGACGCAGGGGGGUGGCAUGGAGGGGUGAUAGUUAGUCACGAUCCCAGUAUGGUAGAGGGACAGGGAAGCGGCGGCGCCGUGUGUGGUUCGGCCGGAGGCACUGCCCCACCACCACCACCUGCAAUGCGCUGCUGUGCGCAACUGCGCACGAAUUCCAGCUGCCGAUUCCAUCCACGCCACCCGCCCCAUGCGCCCCAUGCGCCCCAUGCAGGCCAUCCGUACACUGGAGUCCAAAGUGGCCAAAGCGGUUGGCCUGGCCCAGGUCUACACGCAGUACGGCAACCUAGCCGAGCCGUCGUACAGGACGUUUCUGGAGCGGUUGGCGGCGCUGGCGGCGGCGCGCGGCCCGGCGGGCGGUGGCGGCUUCCAACCGCUGUCGUUGUGCGUGUUGCCGCCCGUGCCCCAGAUACAGGCAAGUAGUGUGGCUACAUAGCCCCAGGCAAUCGCACAUGUUGUAUUUGUGCUUUGUGCACCGUACAUGGCAUGGUGAUGUUUGCAUGUUAAAGAGCACAAGGAAAAUAUAGCGCAAAGACAGUGUGUGUGUGUGUGUUAAAGAGCACAAGGAAAACGUUGCGCAAAGACAGUGUAUGCGAUGCAGCAAAGCGACGGUUUACGGAUGUAUGUGUGUGUGUGUGUCCGGCGACUGCAGGGCCAGCCGCGCGAGCCUGACUUCAAGCUGGACAGCAACGUGCCUGGGGUCGUACAGGUACGGGCAUGUCUAGCUGGCUAGCAGCUGGGGACUUGCUUGGCUGCCAGUAUGGCGCAGUGGACUCGCGACAUCGAUGGAGCCUUGAGUUUCUAAGCGGGCGCGUGUGUCCACGUGUCGUGGCUGCAUGCACGUGGUGCAUCCUGGCCAAUGUGCUGCACACCCCACCCGUACAACACACACACACACACACACACACACACACACACACACACACACACACACACACACGCACACACACACACACAUGGGCGGGCUUCGUUUUGUUGUUUUCUUUUCAACACACACACAUACGCACGCACACACACACACACGCAUACACACACACAGGCUUCCUCCGCGGCUGAGGCUGACGCCUUCUAUGACUGGCUGGAGGGCCGCGGCACCUCCAGUAGCGGUGGCGGUGGCGGCGGCGGCGGCGCUGCACUGACCGCACUUCGCGCCCGCCAGCACGAGGACGCGGGGCUGGCGGAGCUGACUGAGCGGGUGGGGCUGGCGGUCACUGGGCAAACACCGCCUUGCUUGCAAUCGUGCCACCCACACACCAAAUGCGGACAUCGUCAAUGUUUUAGGCGUGGCGCCACACAGCACGCAUCACAUCGUCGCGCCCCACCACCCGCACGCCGGCGCCCCACCUCCCUGGCCAUCAUCCCUCUUCCCUGACCCUGACCCUGACCCUCCCAUGCACCAACUCCACACGCUCACUCCGGCAACACCCGCAGGUCCGCAACCGCCUACGGUUGCGCAGCCUCACACGCGACGGCCGGGUGGCGCCGGGGCACUACCGUCGCGCCUGCGGGCUGAUGCUGGAGCAGGCGGCGGCGCUGGGUGCGUUGCUGGAGGGAGCCACAGUGCGGGUGGCAUUUGCAAACCGCCUCGCGCCGGAUGGGUCGGCAAUUGAAAUUGCCUGGAACUGCGAGCUGUGAUGCUGAAGUGAUGCGGAGCGGCUGUGACAGGCAGGGCCUAGAACAGGUGUGAUGUGGGCGUGUGAGAGCCUAGGGGAAGAGGGGAGAAUGUGUCCAGGUGGGUGGUUGCUCAGAAGCCCAGUGGAGCAAAUGGGAUUUUAUAACGCCGUUGCCACUGGUAUGCAAGUACAAGGCGCUAGAGAAGCGAAUACUGGAUAUGCAGACUGAAAGCUUGUGUGUUGCAGAUGGCAGCACCCAGAGGUGCCCCCUGCCACCACCGUAUCUCGGACAGUGUUUCGACACCUUAGAUGCCCCCGCCGUGCCAGUGUCUCUCACUUCAAUCUCAAGCCAUCGGAACCCACCUUUUGCCACCAAGCCGCUACACGGUACCAAGCCGCAUGAGCAAUGUCAGCAUACUGAAACCCGCAUUGAUUUCUUGAGGACCAGCCCGAUCUGUCAUGGACCAGCAGCGCUAGCGGAUUCCCCGGUCAUAAAUUGCGAUACACAGGCCACACACACACAGGCAAAUUGCAGACAACCCCACAAACAAGAUUGACCAACUGUCUGUUUCAUCCGAGCGCCACACAGGAAUCAUCGCGUGGGUCCACCAAGCGCCACACACUAGUUCGCUGCCUCUGCCGCCCUUCCUACGCGCCAGGCGCCAGACCCCUGACUGAGCUCAGCACUACUGCAUAAUGCAUGCCUUCUAUGUGGGAAGCUGUGCCCUAGCCCUGUCACGCCCCCUCCCGCGUGAUCACCUGUCUAGUCGCAGCCCCAACACGUUAUACUGGGUCGGCAUGUGGAGACGCGGCCACCGCGACCAAGCGUCCGCACACCCGUAGAAUUGAGUUUCCUAUGACUACCUUCCACCUGACCCCACAGCGCUAUACGUGCUCGUCGCCGUCCUUGUGACCGUGUGCGUGCACGUGUGCGUCCGGCGCGCCCCCGCCGCCGCUCGCCAUUCUCCCGCCUUCCCGGUGGUGCCGUUCGAGCAGCGGCGUCUUCAGCUCCGAAGACAGCGAGUGGUGGGCGGCCAUGCCCGGGUUAUGGCUGCUAACAUGCCCGUGUGUGUCCCGGUGCAGCGGCGACUUGUGGACGCUGUGUUCGGUGAUGGGUGCGGACUUGUGGUCCACAAGCGCCGACUUGGUCGGCGUAUCCGGCCUGCGGUUGCACACGACGACGGCGGCGACGAUGACGCACGUUCAGCGCCAGGUCACGGCGAGGCACGUGCCGCCCCUGCCACCACGUGCUCGCGCACGUGCUGCGGCACUCACGCACUCACGCAGGCACGCGCAAGCGCACACUAUGGCACGCACGCACGUACGCACGCAGAGGUUGAUGGUACCUCAGGACGUAACCCACGACCACCCACCCGUCGUCCUCGUGCUGCUUGGCCUCCGUGGCGUGCACGUGUUGCCGGUGCUCGGCAAACUUUUGUGCGGCCUUGGCGUAGAUGGCCCCGAACACCAGCAGCGUGCCCGCCCUGUGGGCAGCAGGCGGGCCGACGCACGUGAGAUAUGCCCACACACACCCCGACCGCACAGCAGCCGGCUUUGACCCGCAGUCCCAAAACUUCAAUCCCAAAACUGUACUCCCCGGUUAUGAGUCAUUAGCACCUGCAGCACCCACAGCCGGCGCGCCACCCACCCCGCCACCCCACCACACUGCCCCUGCAAGCUCACCACUGGCCCAGCGUGAGCGGCGUUAGGAACACCACACUGCUCAACAGGAUGCUGAAGAACUGGCGCGUGGUCAUGAUGGUGGCGAACACCACCGCGCCGUAGCGCUUGAUGGUCCAGCUGAUCACCAGCUGCACCAGAGCGCUCGCGGCGGACAGCGCCAGGAUCCAGGCGAUGGCCUCCGGGUUGCGGGCGAGGAAGUAGAGCGGCGGCAGCAGCUGGUGUGUGGCGAUGCAGCCGACGAGGGACAGGCCCAUGGAGAACGACGUGGUGUACAGCACCUGUGUGUACGGCAGCGGAGGGCGGCGGGUGUCGGUGGUAAGCUUGGUGUUGGUGGUGUUGGGUGAUAGUGGUGUGGAUGGUGAUGGUGGGUGUUAGCGGGUGUUGGUGGUUGUGGUGGUAAGUGGGCGUGGUGGAUGGGCGGCAGUCUGUUAAGGGCUGGUGCGGCCAGGCCCCCAGGCUUGUAAGCUGGGGACCGCUCAUCUGCCUGCAGCCGGCCGGCCCACACCACGCCACCCGCCCACCCGCCCUCUCCAUCAGCACUGAGCCCCCCUGCGGCCCCCCGGGCACCAACAGCUCCGCCGCCCUCUCCCCCGUCCUGCCCGCCCCCACCUGAUCCGCCACGCUGACGGGGUAGCCCCGGAACAUCGAGUCCUGCCACGUGGACGUCAGCCCGUCCACAAACAGGUACAGCAGCAUCAGGCCGCCUGCGCGAGGUGGUUGGAGUGUGACAAGGUGGUUGGGGGUGGAUGGGUUCGGGGGAGGAAAGAGGCCAGAGCGCACGUGUGUGUGUGUGUACCGCCUGUGCUACCCCACGUAUUGCUGUGACCAAUCCACAACGGUGUGCAGGAAGAGCGCGACGCGGCAUGAGCUAUGGACUUGCAUGAAGGUGUCGCCUAGUCGGGUGCAGCCACGCCCUGCUGACCCGUCAGCUGCAGGCGGCCCCGCCAUGCGCCCAUACCCUCGCCUCACCGCCCAUUAGCACCAAUGCCGCGUCGCCGUCCACGCCCAUGCCCGUGCCCUCCACCACCACCGCCGCCCGAGCCAGCGCCCGGUCCGCCACCCUACUUCGGACCUGCACGCCAGCCACACGGACAGGUGGAGGAGCAGGUGGUGGGGAUUAAUCCCGAAAGGAAACAGUCGCGCAGGUGGUGGGGAGCUAAGAGGCGAGCAGCCGCCUGCGAGCUACCAAACGCUGAUUGCAUAUCGACCCCGCCCCGCAACCGCCCCGUUCAUGCCCCUCCACCCCCCAAGAAGCCGGAAACGUAUGAACACACAUACACACACCGACACAUACGCACACACAGCAGCAGCCGCGGCACGCACAUGUCCGGUGAGUAUGAAUACGGAGCAGCCCAGCGUGAUGCAGAAGGCGUGCAGGUACUCCGACAGCUUGAACCGCUUGCGCAUGUACAGCGUGCUCCACAGCAUCACAGGCAGCGCCUUGGCGCUCUUGGCCAGCGUCUGUGCGCCAGGGUGCGCCGGGUGGUGGGUGGCGGACAUCACGUGCAGUCAGGAGGGUCAGGCGAGGUGGGUUGGGCUGGUGCUGAGCGCGGGUCCCAGCGCUGGGUUGCAAGCUGCCCCCAGCCUCCUCUCACCCAUGUGCCAUGGACCUGUCAACUAUGUACGUGCGAUUCUGCACACGCUGCCAAGCGGACUUGCACCGUAUGCACGGGCUCCCGCCUCUUCCCUCCGUCUUCCCUCCUCCGCCCUCACCCUCCUCCGCCGUCCCCUACCUCCGCUCGCCCGACUCCUCCACCCUCCCCUUCCUCCCCUCCUCCACCAACACGCUCCUCCCCACCUCCGCCCUCCUCCUUCACCUCCUCCUCCUUCUCCCCCUCCUCCUCCGCCCUCCUCCCCCUCCCCCCCCCCUCCUCCUCCUCCUCCUCCUCCGCCCUCCUCCAUCCUCCCCCUCCUCCUCCCCCUCCCGCUCCUCCUCCUCCUCCCCACCUGCACAGCGAAUGACACGUACUGCAACGCCUCGUACUGACACGCCGUGGCGAUCACGUUUGUGAGCGACACGGACGCGUAGCUCUUCAGCGGCGCCGCGGGCGCGGUGGUGGUGCCGCUGCACACCAGGUACAGCAGCGCCAGGGCCACCGUCACGAGCCGGUUACACAGGACCAGGAAGAUGCUGUGGCUAAAGACCUCCUUCUCCUGACCGAAGCCGAUAGUGACGAUGCGCUCCUGGAGAAGAAAACCGGGAUGGAAGGGAGGGAGGGGGUGGAGAGGUUCGGCGGGCGUGGUGGUUUUGGAGUCUGGUGUGGAGGAUAGCGCAAUAGCUGGUCGACUGAGGCCGCGGGGUGGGGCAUACUUGUGGGCAUGCGAGCAGUGGAGGACGGGGGAGACUGGCUCUGGAGACUAGCUGGGACGGGUCGUGUCAGGGCGGGGUGCGGGCCCCGUACGCAGCCUUACGGCGGCCGUGAGGGUGGUCUGCGUGCAGGACACCCGACGUUCCCAUUCCCCCGGUGCUUCAUCAGCAAGCAGCCCGACCCAAGCUGUUCCUGUUGCUGCUGUUGCCUGCCUGGGUUGCGUAGGUACGAGGCCAAGACUACCGUAUGUACUCAGGUACGUACGAAGCCCCCAAACGUCGACGCGUAGCGUUGAGUAUAUGGUUUCAAGAGGCACGAGGCGACGUAUCAAGCGAUCCUCCUGAAACAGGACCUGACCGUGACAGGUCUGGAACCGGCCCGAAACGUGCGAACUGCGACGGGGGCGAGCAGCACGGCGAGGGUUGCCCGCGCUCUCAACCCCACCCCACGCACCUGCAACAGUCCAUACACCAGCAGCGCUCCGGUCACGACCACGAUGCCCGCGAUGUCCUUCGCGACCUCUGUGCUGAGGAAAUACGCCACCAGGUUGCGGUGGUGUGGCGAGGCGACGCCAUCCACUACGGAAGUUCGCCGCUCUUGCCGCCGUUGUCGCGUUGAGGGCAGCAUAGCAGCACCUCCUAUACUAACUCGUUCAAGCGGCAUCUUCAUCCAAGCCGCCGCUACUAGUGCACGCUCCUGGUCAUGUCUGCCCCUGCCGUCCUCGUUCUGAGCCCAUCCUAGUGUACUGUAGGUUCAAGUGUCAUAGACUAUGCAAGAAUGACUAGAUCGAGUGUUUACUUCGUAGAAACCUUGACUAGUCUGCCUCGCGUGCUGCAGCCGGUGUGUGCACGCCCUUAAGCUAAGCAAAUAAUUGUUUAAGCGUCAGGUAGAAUACAGCAACAAGGGCGAAUAACCAUUUGCGUGUCAGCGAACAACAGUCUUGCGUGGCCGCUCGUGUCUAGGCUUUGCGAGGGUCUAAAAAACUAGAGCAAAGAAUUUCAAAAUCGGAUAUGUAUUGCAUUGAUGUGUACCUGCUUAUUUCACCAGGUGCCCAAUCGAGCUGUUCGAGCCCGCGAUCGCCCUGACACGACGGGCGUCACGCCGACCCACACGACAUAACUUGUGAUUCACGCGCCCGUAUCCACUCCUGCGACAGCCACUCCGCGCCACAAGCGUCUAGUCGCGGUACAAAAGAUACAACGCCACCGAUAACCACUCCAAACACACAGCGGUGCGGAGGAGGUGGCGCACACAACAACAGUGAUGUGUGCCCAACUGUGGCUUAGCUUCUCCACGCUGCGUCCCCGAACGCAGCAGACAGGACAUCUCGUCGCAUACAACUUUUGUCACUUGCCUCCAUUUCGCGAGGCUUCCAGCACUCGCCGUGCACACGUCACGUGAACACGGCCACACCCCACGCAACACGCCAAACCCAAGUAGCACAAGUGCUUGAAGCCGGGCGGCCCGGGCCCCUCCCUGCUCUCCUGCAUUGCCCGCAGCGCACUGGUCCACAUCGCCACCGCAUACUCCUUUGCUGUUGCUCACCAUUGCUCGGCCCUGCCAUGUGACAUCUAAACUUAAAGGAUGCCGACAACACAACACCGGCCCCGCCGAAAGAUCCGCAGCCCCCGGCUUACUCUCUCCCGCCGGUGGCGGCGGGCGCGCUGACAGCGGGCAGGAUGCGGAUGCGCGCUUCCGCGCCCGCACCCACAAUUUCGUGUGACAGCUUGUACCGCUCAAGCAGCUUGAUCUGUAAAGCAGGCGUUUUGCAGCGGCGGGCAAGAGUGCAGGUCGGGAAUGGGCGCCGCAGCUGGGCGUACGGUCUUUUGUGGCGACAUCAACGGCACACACGGGUCUAGCCUUGAGCGCGUGCGACACAGCCCAACACUCCUUGGCGGAUGUGCGACAGGCCAACAUGCUGCUGGGACUACCUCAGGCCCUCCAGCCUCAACAGGUACCGGUAUCGGCCAAUACCGGUAUCGGCCAAUACCGGCACCACCCGUGCAUGCGCGUGCGAGUGCAUGCACGCGCGCACACACGCACGCAAUGGCACACACGUGCGCAUACAAGGAAACGUAAGGACGCACAUGCACACACACACACACACACACACACACACACACACACACACACACACACACACACACACACACACACACACACACACACACACAAUACACACACGCUCCCACCUGCGCCUCCAGUACGCUGCGCGCCCGCGGCAUGAGCUCCACAGGCUGGUGCAGCGGGAUGACGAUCUCCGUCACAGCCACCUGCAUUAGAGCAACACACACACACACACACACACACGUCAGGUGUCAGGCGUCAGGCCAGGUCAGGAAGUACGGCCUGCCCAGGUCCAGGCCGGUCUGGUCCAGUACGACCAAGUCAGGGUGAUGCGCGUUGCGCGCCGCUCCUCAGCGCCGACGGCCAUGGCAUCUGGGAGCAGUACCUAAGCCUACUCCCUGAUCACCAGCAACCAGCGGACACCGCUGGCCCUGCUGGCCCUGCCGGCACUGCAGGCACUGCUGGCACUGCCGGCACUGCUGGCCCUGCUGGCACUGCUCGCACUGCCGGCACGGUUGGCACACGCACCUGCGCCUCCUCCAGCGCCUCAUCCUCCGCCCAUGCCUUGUAGCUGUAGCCCUUGGCCGCGGCGGCGCUACUGCCGCCGCCGCCAAAGCCGCCAAAGCCGCUGCUGCUGCUACUGCCGCCCGGCGCCGCGUCGGCUUCGUCCACCGAGCCCAGGAUGGAGCCGGUGGUGCCUGACACGGCCGGCGGCACGGGGCCCUCCUCGCUAUCGCUGCCGGGGCCGAAGGCGCCGCCGGCCGAGGGGUCAAUGCCCAACAGGGUGCGGAAGGCCUUGACCAGGUUGGCGCUGCCGCUGGUCUUGACGGCGUAGAUGGGCACACUCGACUGCAGGUGGGAGUGGAGGUGUGGAGACGGCGACAGCGGGGGCAGAGAUUCGGGCAGUGGGGCAGGAGCAUAGGGUCGGGACUCCGGAGAGGGAUCUAGGGUGGUGGUGAUGAGGGUGCGACAGAGGGAAGGGCGUGCAGGCGCGUGCAGGCACGCCACUCGCUGCUACCGUGUCGCUGCGCCUCAGCCCCCAAGCCCCAGUUCCCAUCAUGCUCUCCAUUGUCGGAGCAUAGGCCACGAUCUCCGCCUCGCUCUUCUGCAUUGGGUUUGGUUUAGUUUGGGCUGGAAUGUACAAGCCCCCAUCCCCCCGAUCCGUCCCCUCACCUCGCGCGCCAUGGCCCGCAGCUCGGCGUUGUGUUUGACCUUGGCGCGCAGGGCCAGCACGGCGUCGGCAUUGGCGAGCGAGGAGGUGAUGAAGAUCUGUGUCGACACAGGCACGGCGGCGGCGGGGCAGUCGCGGCGGUGUUGUACAGGACAACAGGCAAGAGAGCGGGCACUGCCAGCUCCAGCUGCCCAUAUGCCCCAACCUGGCCGUAACGCUCUACACACCUGGCAGGCGCAGCCUGUCCGCCCCGGUCCCUCUUGUUCCGCGCACCCGGGCUCCCCCAACCCAGCCGCCAGCACCUCUUCCUGCCCUGCACCUCCUCCUCCUGCCCGGCACCUCCCCCUCCUGCUGCUGUUGCUGCUGCCGCCGCGCACCCCCCCCGCUCACCUUGCCGGUGAGCCGCAUGUCGGUGAGCACCUCCCACAGCACGUCCUCGUCAAGCUCGUACGGGUACAGCCGCAGGCUGGCGCUGUCAGCCGUCACGCCCGCAACAGCCUGGGCAGAGAGGAGGAGGAGGCGGAGGCGGAGGCGGAGGCGGUCGAGCGGAGUUACAUGCAUGAUCAAUCAAGGAAGUGGUAGAC
rnacentral:lncRNA from 1 species